rnacentral:lncRNA from 1 species
UAUUAAGUGCUAAGUAUUUUCACUCCAUUUGUGGGCAAAAUUACCUUUUUCUUUAUGCUGCCCAUGCGCCUCACCCAAAGAACAACAACAAUAGUAACCUUACGGCUAUAGGAGAAGCAUAGAAAUUUGAGCUAACUUCAGCACUACUUUAUAAUUCAGAAUAUGGAUUGAGAUUUAUUGAUUAGUUGUUUUUCUGAAGUUAAAAAUUCAUUGCUUUAUAUAUUGAGAUAGAUAUCUUCUCCAAAAUAAAAAGAUAAGACCCUUGUCAUUCUUACAAAAGAUACAUUUGGAAAGAGUAUUAGAGAGUUAUGCUCGGCUCUUCGAAAAUGUUAUUGGGUGAGUAUCGGAUCCUCCAAAAGUAGUGCACUUUUUUAAGGAUCCGAUAUGGAUAUAACAACAUUAUGGAGAGUUCGUACAAUAUUGAUUAUAACUGGGAAAACUUUUGUUUUAUGUAUAUGAUGUAUUACGAAUUUACGAUAAGGCGAAAACUUGAGUUCCAGUUAUUAAUUUGGUGUUCAAAGUUAGAGAAACAAAAUUUCUUUUUAGGCAAAUUACGUAGUGUUGAAAUGAGAUAGACCUGACUAAAAAGAAAUAAAAUCUAGAGCAUUCAUAUAUAUAUAUAUAUGAGCUCUCUAACUAAUCAUAUGGUUUUGAGACAUAAUUGAUUGAUUGAUUUUUGCUCGACGGUAAUAUAUGUAUAAAAAUGGAUAACCACUUGAAUUAACUCAAUAAUUAAUCACCUUCUUCACGAAUGCAGCAUGGAGGAUAUCCUUGGAAAAUAUAAGUUGCACUCAAGCAGCCUUGAGAAAGAUGACCAACCUUCCCUUGACUUACAGGUAAUCUUCAUUUUAACAUCUUAUAUACUCUAUACUUUGAGUUUAAGAAAUAACAAGACUUUUAAAAUCCGGAGUCAUAUAUAUGUCAUCACAUUUGUGAUAUGAUAUGAUAACAACCCAGUAUAAUGCCACUUAGUGGAGUCUGGGGAGGGUAGUGUGUACGCAGACCUUACCCCUACCCUUGGGCAGAGANNNNNNNNNNNNNNNNNNNNNNNNNNNNNNNNNNNNNNNNNNNNNNNNNNNNNNNNNNNNNNNNNNNNNNNNNNNNNNNNNNNNNNNNNNNNNNNNNNNNNNNNNNNNNNNNNNNNCCGGCAUCCUUCCCUCCAAGAACUUCCCACCUUGCUCUUGGGGAGACUCGAACUCACAACCUCUCGGUUGGAAGUGAGGGUUGCUUACCAUCAAAGCAAAGAGUCUAGUCAUCAUAUUUGUAUGACUAUAAAAUUAAUUUCUCAUUAAGUGUGUUAUUCUUUUUGAAAACUAAUAAUGAAACGGUGUCACAUAAAUAGAAACAAUGAAAGUAGUAGAUUUAACAUUGUAUGAGCAACUAGAUGAGGCUAUCUCGGUGCUUAUCGAUCAUUUGGACAAACCGAAUUUCUUUUGUUUCCUGAAUCAAUCCUUAAUAUUACAACUUCCCUAUAUAUGAUCAAACUUAGGGUUAUGACAAUCCUUAGACUAAGGUCUAUGUUUCUUUAAGGGGAAAAUAAAUGUUUUUGAACCUGAAUAUUAUGCAGUAUAUAUACAACAUUCACACAGCUGCAUGUUUUACUAACUCUUUUUGUUGCUUAUCAUAUUGUAGCUAGAAAAUAGCCUCAACACGAAUUUAAUCAAGGAGUUGGCUGACAAAAAUCGUGAACUGAGGUAUAGCCUUCAACAAUUCUUUCUUUUCCUCCAUCACUCCUUUUGGCACUUUGUUUUAAUAAUUUAUAACUGUGUGCAUAUUAAUAAUUGCCGCACCUUAACUUUCACUAUCGCAAGUAUUGAUAACCCUAUUCAUGAAAGCCUGGAUAUAUUUUUUUUAAAAGACAAAGUACCUGACAUUCUUGCCAUUGCUUUGAAAUUACCGCUUAAAGCUACCCUUGGAUGAAAAAUUAUAUCGAUAUAUAUAUAUAUAUAGAGAGAGAAAAAUAGAAAGCUUGAAUUGGAAGAUCUACAUCUUAAUACUCUUAUAUCUCUAAAGAAUAUAUGUGAACUUUGAAAGUAAUAAAGGAUUAGAUAGUAAUCUAUGUUUUAUAUGCAAAUCAUACCCCGAUAGAAAAGAAUGUGUGUAUAACAUUAAAUGUUUAACUCUAUCAGAAAUAGCGUAAAUAAUUCUCUAAACAUAAAAACCAUAAAGAAAAUAGCAUGCAAUAAUAUCAGACAGUAACUACCAUAAAUAACUACCAUAAGGGAGAUACAAUCCAAUAAACAAAUCAAUUAUGGAUAGCCCUGCGAAGCCUCACCCAACACCGGGUCAGGAGUAUGAAGAACUCUAGGGUCCCCUAUCCUACAACCCUAAUACUAGACCUCCAGACUUUCCUAUCAAGGGUCAUGUCCUCAGCAACCCGCAUUCUAGCCAUGUCAUGCCUAAUCAUCUCUCCCCAAUACCGCUUAGGCCUCACUCUACCUCGCCGUGCGCCGACCAUCGUCAGUCGCUCACAACUCCUCACCGGGACAUCAGGACUUCUCCUCCAUACAUGUCCGAACCAUCUCAGCCUCGCUUCUCGCAUCUUCUCAUCCACAGGGGCCAUCCCAACCUUCUCUCGAAUAACUUCAUUCUUAAUCUUAUCUAACCUGGUGAGCCCGCACAUCUANNNNNNNNNNNNNNNNNNNNNNNNNNNNNNNNNNNNNNNNNNNNNNNNNNNNNNNNNNNNNNNNNNNNNNNNNNNNNNNNNNNNNNNNNNNNNNNNNNNNNNNNNNNNNNNNNNNNNNNNNNNNNNNNNNNNNNNNNNNNNNNNNCGGGGCCACCCCCACCUUCUCUCGAAUAACUUCAUUCUUAAUCUUAUCCAACCUGGUGAGCCCGCACAUCCACCUGAGCAUCCUCAUAUCCGCAACGUUCAUUCUCUGAACAUCAGAGUUCUUCACUGGCCAGCACUCCACCCCAUACAACAUGGCAGGUCUAACCACAACUCUAUAAAUUUUCCCUUGAGUUUCUGUGGAACUUUCUUGUCGCACAUGGCUCCUGAUGCAAGCCUCCACUUUGACCACCCCGCUCCUAUACGAUGAGUGACGUCUCCUGUCAAUCUCUCCGUCCCCCUGAAUCACCGACCCAAGAUAUCUGACAAAAUCACAUGUAUAGAUCUUAUUUAAUUUGCUCUAGUUUAUUUCCUCAAAUAAUAUCUCAUUUCUAUUUCAUUCUCAUUAAAGCAUACCUUGCUGUAUCUGGAUAUAGUGGAAACAGCCUCUUUACCCAAGGGUAGGGUUAAGGUCUGCGUACACACUACCUUCCUCAGGCCCCACUAAGUGGGAUUAUACUGGGUUGUUGUUUGCUGUAUCUGGAUAUUGAUGUACUAUUUGUUAUAUAUCAGGCAGAUGAAAGGUGAGGAACUUGAAGGAUUGAGCUUAGUAAAAUUGCAACAAAUUGAGAAAAGGCUUGAAGCUGGACUCACACGUGUGCUUGAGAUCAAGGUUUUUUUUCUUGAUAUUGCAUUUUAUCAUGUUAAAGACUAGUAAAUAUAUGAUGUUAUGCUAAUUAAAAUAACUUCUAAUGUACACAAACUCUUUUUCAUCUCAGGGUACAAAAAUUAUGGAUGAAAUUACCAAACUUCAAAGAAAGGUUAGUAGAAAAGUUUAAUAGCUUAAACCCAUAUUUUGUCUUAGGGGAUAAAAUAUCAAUAUAAUGAGAGUGUAAAAAAGAAAUUUUACAUUAUCAUAUCAUCUAGACGAUAAAUACAUAUAACCUGUCCAUAAUAAGUAGGAUUUAUAUCUGAAAAAAUAAGAUAGGUAACGUAAUAUACAAGUUAAAACACACUGAUAGUACUAUAAAAAAAGGGUUAUAUUGUAGUAUAUAUAAGUCAAUUAAUCCCAUUCUCUUUGUUUGAUAUAUUUUUCCCCUUUUGUGACUCCUGAAUCAUGCAAAUCAUAUAUGCAGGGUGCUGUGCUAAUGGAAGAAAACAAGCAACUGAAACAGAAAGUAAAAUCACCUGGGAAUAACCCUUUUUUGUUAUAGAAUUAUUUAAUUAUUUGACAGGGUUAAUUAAAUUGAGUGAUCAUAUUCUAAUGCUACAAAUUAAAAUUUGUGAAUGUGCUUCUUACUUAGAUGGAAAUGAUGAAUGAAGGAGAGUUGCCUUUACUCACAGACUUGGAUUGCAUGGUAAUGGAAGAAGGCCAGUCUUCUGAUCAGUCUAUUACUACCAAUGUCUCUACUAGUGGUCCUCCUCCUGAGGAUGAUUGCUCAAAUGCAUUUUUGAAGUUAGGGUAAGAUUUGCUUAUAUAUACUCUUUAAUUAUAGAAAGGGCAAAAGGACAUCAUGAUGCAUUAAGCUCUCGCUAUGCGCGGGUCAGGAAAAAGGCCGAACCACAAGGAUCUCGUAUCCUACUUUUUUACAAGAGGCUGUUUUCACGGCUCAAACCCGUAACCUUCUGGUCACAUGACAGCAAUUUUACUACUAACCCUAAAGCUUCCUUGGUGCAAGGAUUUAACUUGUAUAUCCUAACGGCGGCAUAAAAAGGGGGAUCUUGGAGCAUAAGGUGUUCUCCUGUGACCUACAGAAUACCGAUUCGAACCAUGAAAUAAGAGAUAGGCUGCCUAUAUUAUUUUCACUUAAUUAAAGUGUGACUUUUUUUCUGAACUUACGUGAACGCGGGAUCUUCGUACAUCUGAUUGCCUUUUAAUUAUAAGAGGACAUAAAUGAAAGUACAUUAUCAGUGAAAGUUUAACUUGUUAUCUGCCGUAUGUAUCGAAUUAUUUGUUCCACUUAUUAUGGUAGCUACAUAUAGUUAACUUUUGGGUCAUCACAUACUAGUGUAAGAGUUCUUUUAUAUUGUUAGUGUAUAUAAAUUAAACGAAAUGUAAGCUGCAUUUUGAUUUCUUGGUCUCCGCCAAUGUCUGCAUGCAGUUGUAACAAUGGUCCUCCUGUUGAGGAUGAUUGCUCAGAUACAUCUUUGAAGUUAGGGUAAGCUUCUCUCUUAUUUACUUAUUUAUUUAUUUAUUUAUUCAGGAUAUACCUAAUAUAUAUACUGAUAGUGUUAUGAGUUUUUUAAAUACUAUAUACGUAUUUUAACAUGUUGUGUUGAGUUGCUUGCCUCUUUUAACAUGUUGUAUUUUAACACUUUCCCUUAUUAUUUUUGGAUUUCCAUAUAUGCUUUUGUAUCAGGCUACCAUUCAACUAAUGAAACUCAAACGGGGAGUUCUGUUGAGAAAAUCAUAAUUUUCGGAUAUGCAGACAUUUCAUGCAAUGAGUGGCAUUUAGAUUUGCCUUUUCUGAAAUAUAUAUAUAAUAUUGGAAUUGCCGUUGCUUGUACUAUGUAUUAUUAUGUAUAUGUGGACUACUAACAAAGGACAGACUACUAAUUAAUGGUCUCAUUUUGUUCUUUUAUAUUCCAUUUGCAGCUAAACUGGCCACUCUAAAAUGAGCUCAAUAUAAUUAACUGCAAAAAUAUAAAACCAAUCUUAAAAAGCUUUCUUUUUGUGCAUGUCAAUGAUUUAGUACCCCAAUUUUCUUCUAGGAAACAAGAAGUAAUUAAGGGAAAGAAUAGAAAUAGAAAAAUUGAGGUAAAUUGGUGGUUUAAAUUCUAACUAUGAAGGUUAACAUAACUAGUUCAGAUUAUCUUUAUCAGUAAUCAAAAUUAGUAUGGAUAUUUUCAAGCCUUUUAAGAUAAUAACGUUGACAAAGAAAUAAACAUCUCGAGCAAUAGUUUGUCUAGCAAUCAACGUCUUGGGCUUGAGUUUCAUUCAUAUGAUUACAAUCAAGAUAUAAACAUAUGACAUGUAUUUCUCCGAAUUAUGUAUUAUGACGACCUGGCCUGUCGUUUCAUGUGUUACUGAACCGUUUUUUCCGUUUAUUGCUUAUUCAUGUUCCAGUAUUAGCAGUGGGUGAGUUAGAGUCAGAUUGGUUUGGUUUUUGGUAGGAAACGAGACAUUAGUCUCCUCAAGGAAUGCUUAUAUUGGAAAAGUCAAUCGGAUGUUGACUAUUGAGUUAGAGGGUUCGGAUGUAAAUUCUAGUGAUUCGGUUAGUUUUGGGGAUGAUUUGUGACUUGGUAGUGCAAUUGGAAUUGAUUUUGGACAUUCGGUGUAGAAUUAGGCUUGAAUUGGCGAAGUUAGUAUUUUGGCGAAUUCCGGUGGAUAGAUGAGAUUUUGAUCCGAGGGUCGGAAUAAAAUUUUGAGAGUUCCAGUAGCUCUGUUAGGUGAUUUUGGAUAUGUGUGCAAAGUUUCAUAUCAUUCGGAUCGGGUUUUUGAUCGAAUAUACGAUUCGGAAGUUUUUAAGAAACUUAGGCUUUGAUUUGAUAAAAUUUGAGGAUUUUUUAUGUUAACGAUAGUGUUCUGAUGAUUCGAGCAAGUUUGAAUAAGGUAAUAAAACAUGCAUGUGCUUUUGGUUGAGGUCCCGGGGGGCCUCAGGGUGAGUUCGGUUGUUUAAACGAGAGUUUUUGAAGUUUGCUUUAGGUCUGUUGUUGUCAUAUGGUAUUUUCGCUUCUGCAGAAAUAGAUCGCAGAAGCGGCUCGGCAGAAGCGGGUAAGGGGUCGCAGAAGCGAUCAGGCAUGGGCUAGGGUAGUUCCGCAUAAGCGAAAGAUGGUCGCUUUAGCGGGUCCGCAGGAGCGAUCAUUUUACCGCAGAAGCGAUUUUGAGAGAACUGCAGAAGCGGAAGUUGAGUCGCAUAAGCGAAGUUUUGGUUUUUAAGUGGGAAUCGCUGAAGCGGAUUUUUGGUCGCAGAAGUGGUCCCGCAAAAGCAGAAGCGGGACCGCAGAAGCGAAAGUUGUUGUUGCAAGAUGUGUUUUAUAUCAUUAUUUCAUCUGCGAGUCUAUUCAAUUUUCCUCCAUUGUUAACCACCUUAAGAGCUUUUUGCGUAGAAAUUGAAGAGGAUUUGACGGGAAUAACUGGAGGUAAGCCUCAUGACCCAAAAACGUCAUAUUAAGUAAGAAAUUACCUUUAAUUUCUUAAAAAUUGGGUAAAAAUUUGAAGAACUAGGGCUUGGUUUUAGAAAUGAAAAAUAUGGGAUUUGAAAGGGCAUUUGAACUCCGAUUUUGGUAAAUUUGGUAUGUACAGACUCGUGGCGAGACAAAGAAUCCGGUGAUGCAAAUUUCGUAAUUUGUUGGGAAGUGUGCCUGGGGCUCGAAUUUUUCCAACUUCGUGAAUUUUGGUAUUUUUUGAGUAUUUUUUACUGGGUUAUAUUUCUUUGUUACAUUGUAAUGUAUUCCUUAUUCUUUUGAUCAGAUUCGGCGUGUGAGGAUGUCGACUCAAGGGGAAGGGCAUAGCGGACUAGACUUGUGGCCGUUUGAGAAGAGUAAUAGAUGUAGAUGAUGACAUGAGAGUUUGAAAUCCCGAUAUAUCACACUGUGACGCUAUAUUGAGGCGAGACACGCGCUCUAUGGCGAGUGCAUGGUUGUUUGUGAUCCCCGAGUGGUGUCCAAGCUGUGCUCUUGACUAUAGACUGAUUAGUAAACAUCUUACUUGGAUUUUCAUGAUAUAUUUGAGCUGUGUGCCGAUUAUAUGAAUCCCUUGAGGAUUUUUAGCUCUACUUCCAUGAUCCUUAGCAUGUUAUAUGAUUUCAGUCCUGAGUUAAAAUACCGUUUCGAAAUGCUUAGUCACAUUUCUAAUGUUUUUAAAACUUAAACUAUAUUUUUCUUAUAAUUGGAACCAAGAACUAUAAUUUGACUUUGCCGUGUGGCUCGCAUGCAUAUUCUGGACUGAGUGUGAAUCGGGUUGCACGCCGCAGCGACGAUACGAUGAUAUUGCGCUUCGGUUUUAGGGACCCUUCCGGAGUCUGAACCCCCACAGUAAGCGAGGGUAUCCAAAUGGAUUGGGUUGCACGCCGCAGCGGUCAUGUGUAUUGCAUCGCAUUCAUGCUUUGAUAUGACUUUGUUUUGUUGCCAUUUCACCGUUAAUUAUGCUAAAUUUCUAGUUAUAGCUUUACAUCAUGGUAUUUCGUGGAUUCUCAUCUUCAAUCAUUAUAUAUGCUUAUUGUUCACUGAGUUGGAAGUACUCACUUUACUUCCUGCAUCAUAUGUGCAGAUUCAAGUGUUCCGGGAGCUUAGUUGAGUUGUUCGUUGUUUCCCAGAAUUCUCAGGAGUCGUCAAGGUAGCUUCCUGACGUCCGCAGGACCCAACUUCUCCCCUUAUUCCCUUUAUUUUUCAGUAUUUUAGAUUUCUGUAUUAUUGUGGAUUCGUUAUUCAGUUGUACCUAGAGGCUCUAGACUCGUGACCCCAGAUCUAUUGGGAGUUGUAUAGACAACUAUUAUGGUUUCUGAACUAUUUCUGUGGUUGGAACUAUAUUAUCUAAUAAUUUAACUCUAUUAAAUGGUAACAGAUUGUGUAUUUAGAUUUGGGAGUGUUUAAUGGGUGAGCUUACUUAGCAAUUGUGCUGGGCGCCAUCACGUUCAAAAUUAGGACCACCUAGCAAUUGUGCUGGGCGCCAUCACGUUCAAAAUUGGGACCAUGACAUGUAUGGUAACAGAAUAAUAAAGUGAGGAAAAUACUUACCCCUAUUGACGUUCACACCUAAUCAAGUGGAGUAAUAAUCAACUAUAAGAGUUAUCAAUUAGAGUUAAAAAAUAAAUCAUGCGACUAUCAUCAAGUCAUAAAAAUUUAUAUGUAAGACAAUUAUUUUACAUUUAUUGAUUUGAUACAAAUAGUUAAUGCAUAUAAUUUUUAUCCUCUUGACCUAGAGGCAUCAACGAAACCUUGUCAUAUGUUGGAAAGGCUCCUUACAAAGGCAGGAAGCAAGGGCGAUACCAAAUCCAAAUGCCACGAAAAGCAGCAACAACAACAACAGUAAGUUCAGUAUUUUCUAGGGUUUAGAGAAAUUGAGAUGUAAACAGUUUUAGCCCCUACCCUAGAAGGACAGAGAGGUUAUAAACCCUUUGUUGAAGAACGAAUGACAAAAGUAAUAGCAACAAGAAGAAAUAAUAAUAAGAUAAAAAUACUGAAGCCAAGAAAGCAAUUAAACUCUAGAUAAUAAUAGCAAUUUAUAAAAAAAAGGAUAUCAUAUUAAUAUUAAUGCUGCCGAACUGCAGAAGUGCAAAAAUAGCCAUUUUAGGUCUCCAUUUAAAGACUAGUCAACAUUUAUGAAUUUUUUUAAGCCGUUUCACAAUCAACUUCAGAUAUGUCGGUCGGAGUUUGAUCUUUGAAUUUCAGAACUUCAGACCUUCCGAUAUGAAAUUAGACUUUGGUAAAGUCCAAUGGAAAGUUCAGUUUGAAUUUUGUCAAGACGGACUAAGUUUUAACUAGUCACUAUAUUUUCAAUAGGGUUACUACGAGCCACUAUCGGGUGUCAUUUUUAGAGAAGAAAUUUAAAAAAAGUUAAAUUUAUAAUUGGUCGUUCAAAAAUAACUCAAUUUCAAAAGUAAUUAAAAUUUAACCGUUUUUUGUAAAAGAAUAAAUUUGAACGAAAACAUUGUUCAAAACCUGAAAAGAUAUGUCAGUAUAUUAUGCUGGAGUUCCAACAUAAGUAUACUUGAACUCCAGCAUAUUAUACUAGAGUUUCAGAAUAAGUAUGUUGGAACUCCAGCAUAAUAUAAUAGAGUUCCAACAUAAGUACACUAGAACUCCAGCAUAAUAUAAUAGAGUUCCAACAUAAGUACACUAGAACUCCGGCAUAAUAUACUGGAGUUCCAGCAAGUAUAUUGGUCCAGCAUAAUAUAGUGGAGUUUAGAGCACCUCCAGUCUCCAGUAUAUUAUACGAGAGCCAGCAAAGUAUACCGGUCCAGCAUAAUAUGCAUGAGUUCACACACAUGUGUACCAAACUCCAGUAUAUUAUGUUGGACCGGUCUUUGUUGCGGUAAAAUAAUAGUUAUUUUUUAUUGACUUGGUAAAUGCCGACCAUUUUUGAAUGACCAGUCAAAAAACUAAAGUGAACAAGAAUUUGUUGAUUAGCUAUUAACUUACAGUAUACUCUCUCUGUCCCUAAUUUAUGUGAUACAUUUAAGAUUCUCGUUGAUUCAUUUUGUAGUCACAGAGAUGUCUAUUCAACUUAUUUUUUUCCUUGUACUUUGAUUGGAUGUAAUGUACAACCAGAUUGCUGAAAUAGUUUCCUUUCUUAUUUGUGUAACCUAAAGGUUACAGCUUUCUGUUACUUCUCAUUACUCAGUGCAGCAGUACAUUUCACAGAAUUAGAGCUUUCGAAAGAUCAUAUUUUCGUGAUCUAAUGGUAUCAUUUCAUGUACCGCUAAGAUCACAGAGAUUGUUGGAUGCUCUUAUCAUUAGUUGUGCUUAGUGUGAAUCAUGGCCAGCCUAGCCAUGUAAAUUUUUGAUUCCUCAUAUAUCGAUUUCCAGGUGUUCAUGAUUCACAUGCACCUUGAUUUCUCUUAGAAGAUUGUACCUCUUCGAGUGCUGGCCUUGUUUGGUGCGGGCAUAGGUAUUUGGCUAGGGGUCCGCCAAACGUCCUCUUGUAGAGGUCGUUGUUGAUAAGGAAGUAUCGAGCGGCUUGCACGCGAAAUUUCUUCGCCUCUUUCUUGUCAUGCGGCGGUAUUCCUUCCUGCAAGUAGGAUACGAACUGGUUGCGCCAGUCCCAGGUUAGACUUAAAGAAAAUACCUCAGUGUGGUCGAUGGCUUAAUGAAGAAGGGUGACCACGCUUUCCUUGUCGAUGUUUUAGCUGCAGCUAAUUUUGUCAGGCCAUCUGCUUCGAUGUUUCGUUCCCUUUGGGAUUUGUUCGAAGCGACAAUCAUCGAAGGUGGCCAUUAACCUGCGGAUUUUCGUCUGGUAUUUUGUAGCCUUUGUUCUUUGAAUGGUAAGUCCCAGCAAUCUGGUUUACAACGAGUUGAGAAUCGCACUGGAAAAGGAUCCGUCGGGCUCCAUAUUUGGUGGCUAAUUUCAUACCUGCAAUAACGGUCUCAUACUCGGCUUCGUUGUUAGUCAUUUCGGGGCAUCGUAUGGACUGACGAAUUGUUUCUCCCAUGGGGACCUCGAGGACGAGUCCCAGUCCUGAUCCCGAUGCAUUAGCGGCGCCAUCAGUGUGGAGGACCCAUAGGUCGUUACUGGGGGAGGCGUGUCGGUCCUCGAGUUCUGCCUUCGGCAGGAUUUAUGCGCUGAAGUCGGCUAUGAAGUCAGCUAGGAAUUGAGAUUUGAUGGUGUUUUGUCGAAGGUACGAGAUGUUGUGUUCGCUGAGCUCGAUGGCCCAUCUUGCGAGACGGCCUGAUAGUUCAGGCUUGUGUAAGACGCUCCUCAGCGGGAAGGUCGUUACCACUUUUCUGGGGUGGCAUUGAAAACAAGGUCGUAGCUGUCGUGAAACUACUACUAGUGCUAGCGCCAUCUUCUCAAGGUGUGGGUACCGAGUUUCGGCGUCCACUAGUGUUUUGCUAAUGUAAUAGAUGGAAGAUUGUGUACAUUUGAUCUCGCGUACCAGGACAGCGCUGACAACGACCUCAGACAUGGCUAGAUACACCAAAAGUGGUUCACCUGGGCUUGCUUUGGCUAGUAGGGGCGGCGAGGAUAGGUACGCCUUCAAAAUUUUUAGGGCUUCAAUGCAUUCUUCGUUCCAUUGAAGCGCCUCAUAUUUCUUCAACACACUAAAGAAGUUAUGGCACCUAUCGGAGGAUCGUGGGAUGAACCUGGAGAGGGCGGUUAUCCGACCCGUCAGCUUCUGUACCUAUUUUUUGCUGCUUAGCACUUCUGGGAUUGCGUCUAUUGCUUUGAUCUGAUCUGGAUUGACUUUGAUAUCCCUCUCCGAAAUGAGGAAUCCCAAGAACUUUCCUGAUGCCACGCCGAAGGCACAUUUCUCGGGAUUUAGGUCUGAGUUAACUUCGAUACCCCUCUGCAAUACGAAGAAUCCCAAGAACUUUCCCGAGGCCACGUCGAAAGCGCAUUUCUCGGGAUUUAGUUUCAUCUCGUAUCUUCUCAAUAUUUCGAAGGCCUCCUUCAGAUGGUCGAGGUGGUCUUCCUUUUUGGACAACUUUACUAGCCUGUCGUCGAUGUAUACUUCUAUUUUUUUGCCAAGUUGCUCCUUGAACAUCCAAGUCACCAACCUUUGGUACGUGGCUCCCGCGUUUUUUAGCCCGAAGGGCAUCACUUUGUAGCAGUAUGUCCCUCGGUGAGUGAUGAAGGUCGUCUUCUCCCAAUCUUCUUCGGCCAUCAUGAUUGGAUUGUAGCCGGAAUAUGCAUCUAGGAAGCUCAAUAGUUCGUGUACGGCCAUCGCUUCUACCAUUUAGUCAAUGUGGGGCAGUGGGAACGAAUAUUUUGGGCAUACUUUGUUCAGGUUACUGAAAUCCGUGCACAUUCGCCACUUCCCAUUUUUCUUCUUGACCAUAACGAUGUUGGCGACCCACUCAGGGUACUUGGAUUCCCUGAUGGAACUAUUUGCCAGUAGUUUGUCUACUUCUUCACUCACAGCUUCAUUGAUGGCGGCGUUGAAUUUUCUCCUCAUCUGCCGUACGGGCGGGUGUAGCGAAUCAACGUUCAAUUUGUGGGUAGCGAUGUCCUGUGGUAUCCCUGGCAUAUCUGAAUGGGAAAAAGUGAACAAGUCUACAUGGUUAGAUAAAAAUUCACGAUACUUACUUGUGUUUGAAAGGUUGUGGCCAAUGUAGGCCUUCUUCAUGAGGUCGUUGUUAUCCAGAUGAAUGGGGUCGAGGUUCUCGACCUGGCUUUACUAUACUUGGGUUCGUAAGGCAGUGCCCGAUGUAGGCCUUCUUUGUGAGGUUCGUUGUCGUCUAGCUGCACAGGAUUGAGGUCCUCGACCAUGGCUUUGCUGGCUUCUAUGAUAUCUAGAUCUUUGAUGGUGUCCUCUGCCGAGUGAACCUUAGUCCCCGACAGAGGUGAUUAUUAUGCUUCUGCGCUCGCCCCUUAGAGUUGUUUUGUGUGGGUAUAGUCUUGAGCUAUUUUAUAACAUUCUUGGGCGGUGUGGGGUUCACCCCGUAUGCAGAACACCCCCAUGAGGUAGGAAAUUUGAUCACUUGAUAAAAGUUGGAGGGGACUGCUCUCAUGGCAUGUAUCCAUGGUCGUCUAAUGAUGGAGUUGUACGUUGUUUCCUAGUUCAUCACGUGGAAAGUGGUUUCCAGCGUGACUCCUCCCGCCAGGACGGGCAGUGUUAUUUCUCCGAAGGUUCUUUCCACUGCAUUGUUAAAACCAGUCAGUGUUAUGCAGUGUGGUAUUAUCUUAUCCUCGAGUCCCAUAAGUGCAAGGCUCGGGUGGACAAUACAAGCGUCGCUGCCGUCAUCAAUCAUAAUUCUCCUAACAUCUGUAUCCACAAUGCGUAAAGUAAUAACCAGAGCAUUGUAAUGAGGAAAAGACAAACUGUUGGCAUUAGACUUAUCCAAUGUGAUACUAUCUUCGAAGUCGCCAUACCGUUCGUGGGCGAUAGUUUUCUUUGACUUGUGAGUGGUGGUGAACUUGACGUGAUUGAUUGUCGAGUCGUCGCCAUCCCCGAUGAUCAUGUUGAUGGUACGUGUGGGGGAGGGUGGCCUUGGCGGCCCGUUGAGUUGUUCCCAUCCUCGUGCAAAGUUGAGUUUCCCCUUGUCGCUGAGUAGUUCUCUCAGGAACCCCUGGUUCAACAUCCUAACCACCUCCUGUCGUAGACCUAUGCAGUCUUCAGUUCUAUGCCCUCGCUCCUGGUGGAACUCGCAUAGGGCAUUUGACUUUCGGAUGGUAGGGUCCGAAUUCAUCUUUGCUGGCCAUUAUACCUUGUUUCCCACCUUCUCUAGUGCGUACACUACCUCUGAAGGAGAAACACAAAGUUAUCUGCGGAUAAUAAAGGAGGCAUACCUCGUUCGUUCCGUAGGGGGCGAUGUGCCGCUGUAGUGCAUCCAUGUGCCUUGGUGGAGGUGGGUGAGAUGAUCUGAUAUAUGGUUGAUGUCUUUCCCUGUUGGGGUGUGGGAUUUGUUCCCAUCGCCCUUCAUUGCUUCGGUCCCUCCUGACCUCCGGAAGUAUCAGUCGUUAGUCUCCUGGUAGGGCCGUUGAUGUCGUCUUCAUCAGCGCGCACCUCAGCGCAGUAGGCAUUAUGGAUUUCUUCCCAGGUGGUGGGAGGGUACAUCAUGAGGCGGCUCAGUAGCUUCUUGGUCGCUCUCGAGCAGUCCCUGCUUAACCCGUUCUGGAAAGCGGCGACUGCCAUACCAUCCGAUACGUUUGGCAGGCUCAUUCUCACCCUAUUGAAUCUGGCCAAGAAGUCCUGAGUCCUUCUCCCACGGUCUGCCGUACAGCGAAGAUGUCGUUGACUCUUGUUUCUGCUUUCUUUGCUCCUGCAUGUGCUGUGACGAACUUGUCUGCCAUUUCCUCGAACGUGGAGAUGCCCCUUGCCAGUAGCUGGGAGUACCACGUCAAAGCUCCACCUGUCAAUAUUUCGCCAAACUUCUUCAGCAACACGGAUAGUAAGUGUUCUUUUGCCAAAUCGUUACCUUUCAGAGCCGUGAUGUAAUGGAUUAGAUGAUCCUCGGGGUUCGUAGUCCCAACGUAUACCCUCAGAUAGGGAGGCAUCUUGAAAGUUAGACGGUAGCUGGGAGUACCAUGUCAAAGCUCCACAUGUCAAUAUUUCUCCGAACUUCUUCAGCAACACGGACGGUACCUGUUCUUUUGUCAAAUUGUUACCUUUCACGACUGUGACGUAAUGGACUAGAUGAUCCUCGGGGUCCGUAGUCCCGUCGUAUACCCUCAGAUAGGGAGGCAUCUUGACAGUUUUUGGGAUAGAGUAUGGUGUGGCCUCCUCUGUGAGGGAUUCUCUACAAACCUUCCCACGUCGCUCUUUGGCAGCAGUUUAGGAGCGCUCGGGAUCAUGUCUACUCUUUCUUGAUGUUCUUUCAUCUGGUCACUGAGCGAUUUGUUUUCGUGCUCCAUGUCCUCCAUCUUUCUGAGGAUGGCUGUGAGCGCUCCGUUGUUGGUUUGAGUGUCGGUGAGCAUAUUGUUGGCUCGCGCGAUCUCGGGUUCAUCUUUGGCUGCGGUGAGGUCCAUUAUUGGCGUGUGUCUUACGCCACAUUGUGGUGAAUUUUCGAUUAGGUCGCUCAGAGUGCUUGUGAGCCACCCUUUUUUGCUUCCUUAGAUAUAGAAGUAGAAGCUCCCCUUUCUUGCGGAUGAGUCAGACCUUUGGGUGGAGAAGGUGGGGUUCCUCCACUCAUCGUGGUGUGGUACUGGGGGUUGUGUUCAUGAUAUUAUCUUCACCUACCUCGUUGAGUGAAUCCAUGAGGUUGACUCCAACCUCGUCUAUCGCUUUUUUAUUUUUUGCAUAGUUGUCAGCCAUUUUUGCUCGUGCGAUGUGGGGGAUGGUUGUCAGCGGUUUUUUUGAGCACAAACUAUAAUUUUGAUUCUCGAAAUCCCAAAGACGACGCCAAAUUAUUUUGCUCAAAAGAUUCAUACACCUUGUAAGCUAAAAAACAAUCAAAAAAAGUAUUUGGGUAAAUCGUAAUCAAGUAUAAUAUUAGAGUGCUAGAUGGGAUUAGUUAGCCAAGAAUUUAGCAGAUCUAAAAAUACACAGAGUUAUAGAAAGCUCAAGUAUCAGAAAGAAGGAUAGAGAGAUAGUUUGCUCGAUAACAGUAGAGAGAGAAAGUAGAGAGAUGAUAUUAUUCAGAGUAAAAGCACAUGAUCGUUACAAAGGUGAAGGCUCCCUUUAUAUAUUAGGGGACCUUCCUCGAAAUAAUCAAAAGAAAAGUACAAAAGUUGGUGGCUUCCUUGUUCGAAGAAGCCAGACCUUAAAUGAUGUCGUUCGUCUACCUAGUGGACUGGGACGUCCUUAUUUUGGUCAUCCUCGCCUGAAGCGACGUGAUCUGAGGACGGCAUUGUCAUGAAGGACGUGUCUGCUUAGACGGGAACGGGGCGAAGCGGAUUUUACCCCAUACAAUAAUCAAAGUAUCAAACUUUGUCUAUCUAUGAGGAGCCGAAGCGGAUAUAUCUCUAAGUAAUCAGCCCUCACUUACAACCGAGAGGUUGUGAGUUCGAGUCUCCCCAGGAGCAAAUUCUGGGGAUUNNNNNNNNNNNNNNNNNNNNNNNNNNNNNNNNNNNNNNNNNNNNNNNNNNNNNNNNNNNNNNNNNNNNNNNNNNNNNNNNNNNNNNNNNNNNNNNNNNNNNNNNNNNNNNNNNNNNACAGCCUCUCUACCCCAGGGUAGGGGUAAGGCUGCGUACACACUACCCUCCCCAGACACCACUGAGUGGUAUUGUACUGGGUCGUACUUUUUUUAUAAUUUAAUUGAUACACACGUCUACUAAGUGACAUAAUAUGGGGGACCGAGAAUUAUUUUUUUUGAAUUACUAAAUUUUUAGUCAACAAUUUUACUAACAUAGGUUAACUGAAGUGUCUAAUCUUGCACAAGAUUUUACUAAAGAGCAUGUCUAGCAAAAUUCAUUUUCUAUAUAAUUUUCAUAUUUGCGAAGAAGAGAUUGGUGUAAUGGGAAAACUCGAGAUUUUGAAUGAUCUUAGCUGGUAAACAAAUACGUCAUCACCUAUAUAUUUGAUGUCAAUGCAAAAUUAUUCUCAAUAAUCACCAUUCCUUCUUUUUCACUUUCCACUUCUCUUUUCUUUUUCCUUUUCUGAAUUAAGACACGAGAAUUAGAUUCUUAACUUUCUUAAUAGGGUUUUUAACCAUCACUAGAAUAAGCUCAAUCUUACUGUAGUCAAAUUUCACUCCAAAACUGCUGGAGUUCCAGGUACAACAAACCAAUCUAAAGUCAGUAGAUGGUCACGCCAAGCUUUAAGCUAAAAGUUAGUUGCAUUAUGCCCUGCCUUCAUUGAUCAUUAUCAAAAUGCUAAAAUACAAGCCAACUAUUGCUCCACAAUUGUACAUAAAUGGAAUUUCAUGAGAAAAUUUACAGUGCGUAAUGCAAGCUCUAAAAAACAGCCUUAGCGCAUUAAUGCACAUUGUUGAACCCAUAAACAAUAAUCACUUUUCGCGUUCUUUUUGGACAUUUGGUGCACUCGGAGCUUCAGCCAUCUGAUCAUCCAUCUUAUCUUUAUUUGAGCUGAUUGAGCUAUUCCCAUUCCGGCAGGCAGCCAACUCCUUUGGUUCAGAGUCGGAAAAUGCUGGAGAGGGAGAGGGUGAAGUCGUUUCUUCCUCAAUUGGAAGUGUUAGUUUUGACCCUUCUAGUGCAACACCAAGAACAAUGUUAUCUUCUAACAUAGGCCUUCCCGCAGAAGGUGGUGAAAUUGGUCUUUCAGCAUCUUGUUGUGCCUGUGAAGCAGCAGAUGCCACAUCUGUCUUCUCAAUGUUGAUAUCUGAUGUCAAACCUGGCGGCUCUCCAGUUGCUGAAGCAACUUGGUUUUUCUCAGAGUUGCUUUUAACUGGACUACUCGGUCCUUGUUUUGCUGUUUUUCCAUCUGAAGACAAAGUUGCUACUUUUAAAUCGACAUUAGCAUUUGAUGCUGACGAGACCUUAACAACUUCUUUCUCAGCAGGCUUUGAUGGCAAACCAUUUGUAUCAGCAGCAGCCUGUGAUGUGCUUGGUGCUUCAGCCUUUCCAUCUUUUUCUUCAUCAGUUUGUACUGAACCGGAAGAAACCUUAGUUUUAUCGUCAUUAUUGAUCCUAUAAGAAGGCUCAAUAAGGAAGAAUGGGCGAUUGGGACGGUCACGAGAGAAAAUGGAAUCAGCAAAUGGUACAUCAUCCGCAUCAGGUUCGCGAUAUGGUUUUUCCACAGUACGAAGAGGUGUAGCAAGUCGAGCUCGAUGAUGGCUGAUUACUCCGUAUCAUCAGCAGCCUGUGAUGUACUUGGUACUUCAGCCUUUCCAUAUUUUUCUCCAUCAGGUUGUACUGAACCGGCAGAAACCUUAGUUUUAUCGUCAUUAUUGAUCCUAUAAGAAGGCUCAAUAAGGAAGAAUGGGCGAUUAGGACGGUCACGAGAGAAAAUGGAAUCAGCAAAUGGUACAUCAUCCGCAUCAGGUUCGCGAUAUGGUUUUUCCACAGUACGAAGAGGUGUAGCAAGUCGAGCUCGAUGAUGGCUGAUUACUCGAAGCAGAUCCAGCAAUAUAACCUCCUGCCACGAUAAGUUUUCUGCACAGUACGAAGAGGUGUAGCAAGUCGAGCACGAUGAUGGCUGAUUACUCGAAGCAGAUCCAGCAAUAUAACUUCCUGCAACCGAAAGUUGAUGGAACCAUUAGCAGGAAGUUACUAUAAUCCUGAUAGACCUUAGGACCUCAGCUGCCACAUACACACACCACAGAUGGAGAUGAAAGAAAAGGCCUCGAGAUAGAAGCAUAUUGAAUGUAUGCCCCACAAACCUACAGUUUGGUGUUAUAGUUACUUCUGGCAAUAGUAACCUGAGGAACUGCCGAACGGAUGGUAGAAGAGAAAUUAUGGCUGCAUAAAGCGAUAUAAUAUUGAAGACCCGUCCAAAACUGGGCGCUGAGAAAAAGAGCUUAUACAUGACUACAUAUAAAUUGAUUAAUGUAUGAUAAUGGUUGACUAGAUUUACUGGAAGCAAAGAUUUUAUACCAAUUUACAAAGUCAGAUUCAGGACUGCUUCACUGAACCAAGGGAUAAAACUCGUACCUUCACUCGGGAGUACUCCUCAAAAUAAGAAGUCUUCACAAAGCAAGAAAUCAUGAUCUGUUACACAUGCCACGAGUAAGAAAAUUGAGUCAUACUAUUAAAAGAAACUUACUUCCUUAAACUACUAUGCACAAAUGUAAGAUAUGCCAAGAUUGAAUUCUCUAACACAGACAUGAAAAAGAAACUUACUUACUUCAACUACUAUGCACAAAUGAAAGAUAUGCCAAGACUGGAUUCUCUAACAGACAGGUAAAAUUAAUAUGAAAGACAGGUGGAAACACUUGCACAAGAGAUGAAGUGAUCCUGUGGCUAAGGGGCCUAGAAGUUCCCAACUAGCACUAGGCUCUACACAUUUAGAGAGCUAACCCGUGUCGAGUAUCGGGCAGAGUUAAAGGAGCUUCUAUCCUUGCUCUUUGCACUCAUCUUCACCCAGGCUAACAGGGGUUUUACUUAUUCAGUGGGAGAAUGGAGUCUUGGAAAGCCUAAUUGAGAGUAAGAUCCUUCACCCCUUUUCAGCCUCUACAGGGUUCGCGCAUUUCUUCAAUAUAGGUGAGAAUGGACCAAGCAGAGAUGGAAGAGAUCAAACACAGAGAUAAGAAGCAGCUAGCCUUCUUAACGUUUAGCUAGAAAGGAGGGGGGUGAAGAAAGUGGACAAAAACAGGCUCGCAUUUUAUCAAAACAAAUACAGGAAAAUAAUCGUAUAGAAAACACUCCUGGCCAACUCCUUCCUCUUUAUGUAUGAUUAGAAUCUUUAAAAAUCUAACACGACACAAGAUAGAUGAUUCAGGAAACUUGAAAUGGCUAUUAUUUGUCAAGCUUAUAAGUCAUGACCAUGAUUAGUUGCAUUACAAACAGCUGUCAAUGCAUUUUACCACUGUAUUUCAGGAACUGAAUGAGGUAGGUAAAGAGGUAUAACCUACCAUUAGAGCCUGAUUCUCUGGAUCAACAUUAUCCAGAAAAACUCGCCUAUGUAACCGCUGCUGUUCUAUUUGAGGAUUUUUCGCCAAAACCUUCCGCAUAUCCGCAACAAUGUUCUGCACGCGAAAGAGGCAUGUAAAUACUCAUCAGCCAACAAAAUUUGUUUUUUCAGAAUAAAAAAAAAUAUGUUAACUAACUAGAAAAUUGUUACUGACAUUGAUCUUAUUCACAUCCAAGUGGCUGAUGGCAAGGUGAGUCUUGAUCCGCCAAUGAGUCUUCUGGCUAAGAUUCCUGACGAUAUUCACUGAAAAUUUGUGAUUUGGUAUAUGAAUGGCUUCACGGUCAUCACCUCUUAUGACUGUUGGUGACCAACAACCUACGUGCUAAACAACAAGAAAGCAGUCAUACAACAGCUCAAUACCACGAGUUAGCUUUCUGUUCAACUGAUUCAGCGAAAGCAGUCAUACAACAGCUCAAUACCGCGAGUUAGCUUUCUGUUCAACUGAUUCAGCACAAAUGGAUGAAGCUGUUAUCCAACCACAUCUUCAUGCAAAUCCUUGCAUAUCAAGCAUGCAAUACUUCUUGUUAUUGCACUAUUUAAAGUAUAUUCCCUUAUUAUCUAAUUGGUGGCAUGAGCUAAGAUUUACCUCCACUGUACCAGAGACGUCAUAGCCCUGUAUCUUUGUCUGUAUCCAGUCAUUUAGAACAAAGGGCCUUGUUGCAUGGAUCAUUAUGCUUGAGAGGAAGUUCGUAAGUAUCUGAACAAGCCCCAACGAAGUAAAAAAUAUACGUUGCACUAAUCCAAGUGGCACACAAGCACUCUACCCAGACAGAGAAAAAAAAAAGGAAACACGAACGAAGUAAAAACUCAUAAGUUGAACUAAUCCAAGUGGCACACAAGCACUCUACCCAGACAGAAGAAAAAAAAAAGGAAACAUGAAAGCAGAAGUAAUAUUAAACCAACCACUUGGGAGAACAUCCAAAUGAAAUAGAGAAAAGGUAUAAAACCUCAUUUCGACGCACUUAGAAAUGCAAAACAAAUGGUCAGAUUACCUCACGACCAGCAAGAGUAAGCAAUACUGUCCCAAGACCCCCAGCUGUCAACCACUUUUGUGUAGAAAAACCAAGCAGUUCCAUGAACAAUGAAACAGAUGCAACCCACACUGCAGUAUAUACAGCUUUCCCUGCAAAUUCGAAUCCCAUCUGAAAGAGCAAAACACAUAUUUGAAGAAUAAGAAUUGGUCAUAGAAGGCAACAACGGGAAAAAAAAUAUAUGAUGCUGCAUAUUUUUCUGGAGAGGCCACUUCAAUCAUUAGCGUUUAAUUGGUUUGAUAGUUUUAGAUUACUUAAAUAUGCACAGGAAAGGUGUAAUAACAAUUGCACACUAGUAUGUGAUACCGCCAAACUAACAUAAGCCUCUAAUCUGGAGUUGGAUCCAUAUUACUUAAGCCAAGAAUGAAGCUUUCUUGGAGAAAGAAUAUGAUCUUGGGGAAAUGGGAAUCAAGAAACAGGCAACAAUAAGCUUUUGACAAAUAGGUAACUAAAGUACUUCCAGUUGUUUAGUUUCCUUGUUUAGCAUUAGCAUUUUAUGUGCUGUUUAAAAAUCUAUAUCGGGCUUCAUUCUAAACAUCUCUGCAUUAACCAAGGUAAUAAAUUUUGCAAGCUUCAACAGAUUGGAUUAAAUACAUAAUUCCCACAUACAUUUCUUGCAUCAGAGGGGUCUUUUGUCUCCAUAAGGAAUUUUUGUGUUUGCUGAAUCAAGCUGCCAAAAAAGAAAAUCAAGAUGAAAUCCGUGUAUUAUAAACAGAGAGCAACUAAUCAGAAUUAAGUAAUUAAGAUACUGGGAAAACCAAGAGUAUGACAGAAAGCUACAUCGGUGCUAUUAAAUAAGUGAAAUCCAUAAACUAACGAAUAGAUACUGCAUCAGAAAAUCAAAUAUUACAAGAUCUUGAAAGAAAAAUAUCACCUAGAUAAACAGUAGGCAAGUGCCAUCACUGUCGAUAAUGAUCGUAUAAAAGUAAGAAAUCUUUGCUUGACUGCCUGGCUUGCAGCUGAAGGUAAAAUCAGUGGAUCCACUGCUCUGCAAAAGUACACGUCAGCAGCAUGAGUGUUUUAUAAAGAAAAAAUCUAACGUUUAAGAUUUUAAAAAUUGCACUUUAAUUUAACCUGCAUAUAAGUAUUGCUCCGGUCCAUAAAAGCAUAGGUUUAAGAUAGGAAUCUGCGACAUAAUGCAAGCCGCUUUGUUUCCAAUUACUCUCGCUUUCCUGCAUAAAGGUUUUCAGAAAACGACCUAAUUUAGGGACAAUGAUGAUGUAGACAACUUGCAGACCAACGAGAAAGAUUGUCCAGAGCAGCCAGUACAUGAAAGAAAAAUUUUCUGCCAAAACGCAUCAAUGGAAUGAGACCCCAUGCGGCUAAAACAAGAACUCCAACGGCCGGAACCAGCUGAAGCACAAGGGGGCUCCCAUGUAUAGUAUUUAAUGACCUGCAAAACAAAACUAAUAAUUGCAUAGGUACCAGUUUGAUCAUUUCAAUAUUGGAAUGUAGAUCGAGGAUAAAUAAAGCAGACGUGAUGCUAUAAUCAUGAGUGAUAAUUCCACCUAUUGAGUAAAAUCGUCAGACAUUUAAUUAGGUAGAGAAUCAAGAUCAGGUUAUAUUGUGAAGGGCUGAAGAAUGGAUUAUGAUUUGUGAGAAAAAGAACUCAUCCUCGUUGAGAAAGAGAUGCUACUUAAUUAAUAGAAACACUGUUGAUGAUAGGAGUUGCAUUAGUAGUUGACAGGAAUCAAUUAUUAAAAACUCCUAGAUCUGAAUGUCCAUGCAACUUGAAUAAGAGAUAUAUUAGAUAGAGAAACAUUUACCUUUUCCCUAUUAGUGCUGCUGUUUUCAGAAAUUGACUCUCAUAUCCUCCACCUGGCUUUAAUAAGGAGCGGCAGAGCAAUACAUUACAUCUAAUAGGUGGAGGAUGGAAAACAAAGGUCCACGUACACUAUUCACAACGUAAACGCUCCACGCGUCCUGCCGCUAAAGAUGCAUAUACCACAUCCAAUACAUUACAUCUAGUAGGUGGAGGAUGGGAAAACAAAGGCCCACGUACACUAUUCAGAAGGUAAAUGCUCCACGCGUCCUGCCGCUAAAGAUGCAUAUACCACAUAUCAAGGUAUCAAUGAGGGAGUAUAAGUUAGGCAUAAAUCUAUAGCGACAUAACUUAAUUACAAGUUUAAGAAAGUGCUCGUUAGGUUGAUUGCAGCAAAUGCUCAGCUUAUCUGAUUCAGAAAAUGGCAAAUGGCAAAUGGAAAAUGUCAUAGUAAUAAGGAGAGCUAUAAACAAGAUGAGUUCAGCUGAUUAAUGGAAUACGCAUGGUUCAAUUGUUAAAAUAAUAUCAGCUUGAGCAUACUGAACUCAGGAGAACUCAAGCUGUAGCUCGAAUUGGCUCAUUACACAACAACUACAGCUUGAUAUGUGCAAAUACACUUGGCAAGACAAUAAAAGCACAUCACAUUUUUAGGCUUCCCUAAAACUUUCCACAUUAUCAACUUUUAUGAUCUUGAUCACAAGGCAAAAUAAGCAUCCACUGAACACAUAUGAACUUGAUCUCAAAACCUGCUCAUAAUUUAAACAAGUAAGCAAAGUCGAACAUAUUCAAGUCAAGUCAAGUUGUUUCUGUUGAACUCAGCUUAUUCGUAAAGCUAUUGAAAUCAUGUCAAGUACAUAAAGCUUAGUUUUCUGGAGUCAAGUUCAUGAUGCUCAAGUGAUGCAAUUGAAUAAAAUGAAACAACUGCUUAUCGAAUAAGAUCAAUAAAAAAUUGAAAUACAUGAGAAGGUCAUGAUAUACCUAGACUGAAAUGUUGAACCUAUAUAUACAAUAACAUAAUGAAAGCAAAGUGAGUCAUCAAAAAGCUACCUGAAUGAUGCAUGAAUAAAAAGGAAUAAGGAGGGGUGUAAAUAAAGAAGGAAUGUGAUAAUUAUAGUCUGAUGCAAAGCAUACCGAAGAAUGUGAUGACAGAAAUUUGCUGCAAGAAUCUGUCUGGCCCUACAAACCAACAAAAAAAUUCAAGAAUUGAAGACAUCCUUGUUUUAUCAGCAAAAGGUUGAGAACAUCAUUGACUCUAUCCUGCUCAUAGUGCCCUACAAACAAACAAAAAAAGUCAGGAAUUGAGGACAUCCUUGUUUUAUCAGCAAAAGGUUGAUAACAUCAUUGACUCUAUUGAUCAAUUAUAAUAAGAAAAAAACCAAUGCACAAACCAAAUUGUACCUUGGGCUGGCAGGUGAAUCCACGUUUCCCCUGGAUGCCCAGUUCGCGGGGCAGCAGCAAUGAGACAGCAGCUGCCAUCGUCUAAUAUACUCAAAGAUAUAACACCCAGAAGUUACAAUGUUAAAGUGCAUAUGGGAAGAACCUUUAUCUUCAGAACCUACCUGAAAAAAAGGUGGAAAACAAAAUCAAAUUAAUGAAGCAACCUGCCCAACAGUAAGCAAAAAGAAAGCCUCCCCCUUUAACUGCAUCAUGGGCCCUAGUUAUCCAACACAGUGGCGGAUUUGCAACAGUGGCAGGGGCAGGCGCACCCACUGCCUUAAAUAUAACUAAAGUUCUUUUUAAAAUGAUACACACGCUAAGUCUCCACACAUUGUCACAAAGGAUAAGCAGGUGCAGUGGUUGUCCGCACUCCGCACCCACCUGGUACUCACAUCAAUUGAGUGCAAAAGCUUCUGAUCACAGAAAUAUCUAAAGUAAGCUUUCUCUCCCAAUAUAUCUCAUCUAUCCUAUCAAUUUCAAGCAGAACUAGGUAGGGGGAAGGGGUUCAACUGAAUCCCAUUUGUUGAAAAAUAAUAGUGUGCAAAGAAUGUAAAAACAUAUUUUAUAGGCUACAUAUGAACUGUUGUAUCCCCUUGACACGAGGGAGAAUUCUAGCGAAAGUGACAAAGGGAUUCAAAAAUUGCUUUAAGUUACAGGUUCAAGUCCUAGGUGUGACAUUCUAAUGAUUUUUUGAAUCGCCUUGUACAAAUUUAUGGCUCCGCUACGGCAGAAAGUAUAACCAUAAGCUAAAGGGACUAAGGCACACCACAUCAACACAAUUAAGAGUUAAUGCAUUACCCAGGAGAAAAUCAAAACACAGUCUAACAGUUAAAGUAUUACAUAACCCAAAACGACAUUACUGCUACACCACAGACCUCUGCCCUGCAAAGAAAAAUGCAACUCAGAAAGAUCUCCUCUUUACCUUCUUCACUUUCCUACACAUUUUUCUAAGCCUCAAAAUCUCAACAAUCGAACUUGGAAAAACUAACUUAAAUUUCACAACUAACCAAAAAAAAAAAAGAAUAAUCAACCCUCAUAAUCAAUAAUCAAGCUAAUUACGAACCUUAAUACCAAUAAGCAGUGAGAUUAUCCCAGAAAUUGAAGAUAAUUUACUUUAGAAAACAGCUAAAAUCAGCUCGAAAUCGGAGAUCUUCGUAUAUUGAUGUAAUAGGAAAUGGUGAAAGGAAGGGAGCGGUGAUAAAAUGCGCAGGAAGGAACCAACACCGACGGCUACAGUUGCGUGACGGACUGAAAAAGAUCACUGUUUUGGAUAAUUCCCACGUUUCGAGGUACCCGCCCCUUCUUACGUGGCACCAUUCAUUUUUAUUGCCCAAGUCUUAAAGCGAAAAAAAGUAGAUACGUAGAAAAUUUAUUUAAAUAAAAACGUGGCGGGUUGACGAGAGGUAUUGCUAUGAUGGUAAGCAACCCUCACUUUCAAUCGAGAGGUUGUAAGUUCGAGUCUUCCCAGAAGUAAGGUGGUAAGUUCAUGGAGGGAAGGAUAACGGGGGUCUAUUUGGAAACGGCCUCUCUACCCAAGGUAGGGCUAAGGUCUACAUACACACUACCCUCUACAGACCCCACUAAGUGGGAUUAUACUGGGUUGUUGUUGUUGUAAAAAUGUGGCGAGUUGAAGAAUGAUGAUAAAGUGGACUCAAAAUUCGUUUUGAUGUUAAAAAGGUUACUUUUAUAGGUAUUUUUGCAGUAUUUUAUUGUGAAUUAGGUGUACGGAAUUUUUACCGUUAACGUAAUUCACAGUAAAAUACUGCAAAAUCAUAAAAAAUAUUUUUCUUAAAUUUAACUUGCAGUAAUUUACUGCGAAUUACGUUUAAAUUAUAAUUUUAAUUAAGCAUCUGUGCCAGGCCAAAAAUAAAGAACAAUUCGUAGUAAAUUACUGUGAAUUGCUAAUUCGCAGUAAUAUACUGUGAAUUACCUUUUUAUUUUUGGCCCCACCUAAUUAUUUUAACUGACACAACAACAAUAAUUCAAAAAUAUAAAAUGCAGUAUUUUAUUGCGAAUUCCUUUGAAAAAUUCUAUGCCCCGAGCUCGGACUUGCCUUAUUUAUAGGCGUUUCAUUUUCAUGAAAAUUCAUUUAAUAAACUUCUUUCUUCUUCUUAUCAAUCCUUUUUACAAUGUUUGAAGUGCAAAAAAAAAGGUUUCUCUAUAUUGGGUGGUGGAAUAAACUUAUCUCUUCUUAUUAUCCAUCUUUUUUACAAUAUCUGAAGUGAAAAAAAUAAGGGUUUCUCUAUAUUGGGGUGGUGAGGUUGUGCUUGAGAAUAACUCUGUGAGGUACAGCUCACCUCCACAGUGUCACGUUAAAUUGCCGCUUAAUAUGGAAUACGAUACAUUGGUAUCGUUGUUAUGUAAAAAAUGAGUGAGAGGAAGCGUUCAGUUAACUUCAAAGUAACCGGUAGAUUUCCGUAUUCAGUGACUCCGCAGGGUUCUGCUUAUUAUUCAGAGUUUAACAUCGAGGAUGAUGAUACUCUUAGAGAUUCUUUGCGGAUUCCGGAGGAAUACAAGGAAUUUAUUGUAAUAAAAUUAUUGAAAAUGUACGUCAAGGUGGAAGAGGGCGUGCAUAGCAGGGAUAACCCCCGGUCAUCGAGUGGUUAUUCUGGAGUAAUUUUUGCCGGACAUAUUGGUGAAGAAAGAGCUUGCCUUGAUUUAAACAUGUCACCACCGGUGAAUGAGUAGCCACAAAAUAAUUUAUCGACUUUAUAUAACCAACAAGAGGACUGGUAAACUUCAAUUUUGCUACGCUUUAGCGCUGUUUGUUUUACAUUUGAAUUGGAUUUGUAUUAACGGUCAUAUUUUUCAUAGGGGGUACCGUCCGAAAUUUUACGAGUUAUGAGCCGAUCUCUAGUUGGAAUAUGUGUAUUUCUGGAGUACUGGACCACGAUGGUCCAUCCGGGAGUCAUCAUCAACAAGAAAUGUCAAGACAAUACGACUUGUAAGUAAAGUGAUAUAGCUAUAUCUAAAGUAUUUUUCCGGACUAUUAGGUAACUUAUAUUUUUGUUUUUUUUGUGCAGUGAAAACGAGCUUCUUGAAGCUCCUGACCUCACACAGCUUCCCAUAGACGACGUAUUACUCGUGAUUUAGCAGAUACGCAGAGUCAGGAAGAUGAUAGUGAUUAUCUGUGCAGUGAAAACCAGCUUCUUGAAGUUCCUGACCUCACACAGCUUCCCAUAGACGACAUAUUUACUCGUGAUUUGGAAGAUGCGCGGAGUCAGGAAGAUGAUAGUGACUACGACAAUAAUGUGGAUGAGUCUGGGGAUGACACACCCUUCCCUUUUGAGGUUGGUGAUAAUGAGGAGGAGGUGAAUGUUGAACCUGAACCGGUGAGGAGCAUGUUCCUCCACCUCCCAGGCGACCUAGAGUGUACGUGUCCCACGUUCCAUUUCAUGAGCAGAAUAUCCCUACCUUGAUAAUUUGCCAAGCAUGAAGAACGUGGAUUCCUUCACAAGUGACGAUGAUGAUGAAUUUCGGUUACAAAUGUGGGAUGAGUCCAGGUCAUCUGUUCUAACUAAGGACAUGUAUUUCCCCGAUAAAGCGUGCCUAAUUAGAGCUGUAAAAAUCUACAGCAUAAAAGAGUGUCCUGAGAUAACGGUACAUGAUUCAACUACGGAGAAAUGGAAGGUUGUAUGCCGUAGGUGGUUUAUGGGUUGCCACUAGAUGUUGCGUGCCACCAAAAAUAAAUCAGUUUUGUGGAAAGUUGGUAAAUUUAUCAGUGAGCACAGAUGUGAAAUGGACACAUACAAUGAGAAUCACUUCAACUUGGAUGUCGACUUGAUUCUCUUGUCUUGAUUCCUGAUAAUAUGAGAUAUAAUAGCUAUUUACAUCAUAAUUACCCAUGCUCUUUUGUUGUUUUGUAAUGUAAAAUGCCAUUAAUGUGCUUUGAUUAAUGCUAUUUGAUUAUGCAGGGAAUACAAGAUUUGAAGAAUCAUAAAUGAAGCGUUUAUAGGCAAGAACGUAAGGAUUUACCCACUCAUGAAGAACCCGAACUCAAAAGAGUAAUUGAGAGAAGUGAAACGACAACAAAAGCUGGCCUUCAGGUAUUUUCGCUGUCCGAGCUGCUAUCCGAGCCGCGGUUUGCCACAGAGAGCACCGCGGUCGUUACCGCGGUCGCGGGCGCGGGGGCUUCGUUAGAGUCAAAGAAAUGAAGGACUAAAGUGCAAAAAUCAGGAAACUUUUGUAAUAACCCUAUAUUUGUUAAGGAAUUUGCCCCCCAGAGGAUAGACUCGUUUUGGAGCUCAUUUUGGGAGAAGAACAAGCUUGGGAGUUCAUCCAUCAACUUUAGUGUUCUCUCUUUUAAUUUCUUGCAAGUUAUGAUUAUGAAUCUUUUCUUAGUUUAUUUUUUCCUUGAUAUGAGUAGCUAAAUACCUUAAUCUAAGGUUUUGGGUAUAACCUGUUGUUGAUGAAUUGGUUGUUUUAUUAAUAUAGUUGAUUUGGGUUUUAAUCUCUAUUUGUACAUCUUUGUUCUGAUUGUGGUAAAUUGAAGGGCCUUUAGUUAUCCGUUCCUAUAUAAUAUGUAUUUACUUGAGUGAGAGUGCAUAUUUAGGAAAGUUGUAUGAACAACAUCAUUCCCGGAGUAUAGAUGAGAAUCAUAACCGAGGAUUUAGAGGUUGGAUUAAAGAUAGAGAUACCUCGGAUGCAAUCUAAAUAAACCGUUAUGUGAAUCUAGCUAGCAUAGCUUGAGAGAGUGCGUCUAGUAAAUUAUUAAAAUUACUCGAGAGAGAGAUUUAUGAUAGCUAGAGUAUUCAUGAUUGAUAUAUAUUGCUAAAUUAUAAUUAUAGAACAUAUACAACCAAGGAAUUCAACAACGGGGAACCCCAUUACCUUAGACGUCAACUUAAUUGUUUAAAGUCAAGUUUAGUUAAUUCUAUAUUUAUAUUUCCCUUCAGCUGUAGCUAUAAAAACUUAAUCAAUUGUGAAAUAUAAUGUUUGGGAAAAUUUGACUGCUUAAAUUAAGUACUUCUUGCAAGGGUAAUUGAGACGAUAAUUCUCUAUGGUUCGACUCUGGGCUUAAAUACUCAUAAUAUAUUUGCAGCGCCCGUAUAGUCUUUUGUAAGACAUAGUUGAGCGUGAUCAAUUCCAUAUUUGGCGUCGUUGAGUGGGAAAUUAACGGUUUGUCAAUUACAAUUAAAAGAAGUCCAAAAAUUCUAAGUGUAAUCAAUUUUCUUUAUACCAAUCUUUCUAUUGAAAUUCUAACGUUGAAGUCUUUUGGAAAGCAGGUGCAUGCCUAGAAAUUCUUCAAGGACUGGAGAACUACUAGAAGGACUCACAGACCUGAGAGAGUAUUCAGGGCAUUGAACCGUGCCAACAAAGAGCUUCAACAACCUCAACCAACACAUCACUUAACAGGAGAACUACUAGAAGGACUCACAGAUCCCGAUAGAGUAUUCAGGGCAUUGAACCGUGCCAACAAAGAGCUUCAACAACCUUAACUAACACAGCACUUCGACAUUGACAUGGAGGAUGUAGAUAAUGUCAACGUCCGAAACCAACAAGCUGACGUAAAUGCCAGAGAAGCGGCACUUCUUGUGCUUGAGGGUGCACUGUAUGAUUGGGCACAACCCACAGCUGACAAUCUGUCCACUGCCAUAGUUUUGCCCGCCAUACAAGGUGAGUCGUUCCAAAUUAUAAACAACAUGCUGCACUUGUUGCAAAAUAAAGGAUUAUUUUCCAGAACACAACUCAAAGAUCCUCAACAGCACCUUAAGAACUUUCUAUCUAUAUGCAAAACUCAAAGACAACCCAACAUCACCCCAGAAGCAAUCAGACUGUUGUUGUUCCUAUUCUCGAUGACAGGAGCUGCACAAGUUUGGCUAAACUCACUCCCUAUAAACUCUAUAGCAAUUUGGGAUGAGCUGGUCAAGCAAUUUCAUAACAAAUUUCAUCCACCCAAUAAAACUGCUCAACAAAUUGAUGAGAUCGUGAGUUUUAUACAAAGACCGAUGGAGACGCUGCAUGAAACCUGGGGAAGAUUCAAGGGAAUAUUGAUCGGUUGUCAUCAUCAUGGUGUUCCAGAACCGAUGUUAGGGCAAAGAUUUUAUAUGGGAUUGUCAGACGGGUUGAAAAAUAUUGUGGAUGCUUCAGCUGGCGGGGCAUUCUUGAGUAAAACAUGGAGAGAAGGGCAGAAUCUACUAGAUAAAAUGGCACAGAAUUCAGGGUGGAUAUCCAGAAAUGUACCUAUCACUUCGGGAGAGAAUGACAGAGUCUACUAGAUAAAAUGGCACAGAAUUCAGGGUGGACAUCCAGAAAUGCACCUAUCACUUCGGUAGUGCACUCAGUGCCUCUUGACUCUUCAAACUCAACGGGGGAAAACAUGGAGACUCUCCUGACGCAGAUGAGCAUCCUCACCAAAAAGGUGGAGGAAUCAGGACAGAAACAACAGGUUCAUAUCGUGGAUACUACCAAUGGUGGCUUGUGCACAUCUUGCGUUAGUCAGCCAAUGGGUAAUCCCUGGAAUGCGAAGCAGAACCAUUAUUAUGUUCCCGAAGAUAUUAAUUAUGUGUCUAAUUAUGGAGGUCAGUGACAAAGUAAUCAUACUUGGGGCCAACAGACUUAGCAGUAGUACAGACCGCCACAACAACAAUACAGUGCUGGAAGUCCAGGAGGCAUGAGACCCCUCAACAAUAUGGCACCUUAUCCUAGGCAGCAGGGAUACAGUAAUCAGCAACAAGGGUAUCACCCACCUCAACAACAACAUGGUGGGAGACAAGAAGAUGGGUUCACCAGACUGGAAGCGAUGAUGCAACAGGUGAUUGGGUCCAAUGCAAAGAUAAAUGAAAGAGUAGAUGCACAUGAUUCAGCUAUAAAAAAUAUUGAAGUGCAAUUGGGUAAAAUUUCAAUGUCGCUGAAUAACCAUCCUCAAGGGACGCUACCUAUAGAUACCCAAAUCAAUCCCAAAGAUCAGGUUCCAAAUUAACUGAUGACGGUAUGCACAUGAUGCAGCUACAAAAAAUAUUGAAGUGCAAUUGGGUCAGAUUUCAAUGUCGGUGAAUAACCGUCCUCAAGAGACGCUACCUGCAGAUACCCUAAUCAAUCCCAAAGAUCAGGGUCCAAAUCGCUAAUGGCGGUGAGUCUCCGUAAUGGUAGGGAUCUUGACGUAGAGCAGGAGAGAGCACGUGACAAUAUACGGGCUGAGACCGUCAUUCAGGUAACUAUUGAGCUGGAUGAAUCCACAAGGCUGGCGAAUGUGAUAGUCCAACCUGCUGUGGAAGAACAGCGCAGUCAGUAAGAGACCGAGGAAAUUACUGAAGCAGUUGAAGAGCAGGUAGUGGAGAAAGUGACUGAGAAAGAAAAGUCUCAACUGGUUGGGAAGAAAAGACCUCCGGCACCUUUUCCACAGAGAAUAGUCAAGCAUAAAAAAGAAUAUCAAUACAAAAAGUUCUUUUAUAUGCUAAAGCAAAUUCAGGUAAAUAUUCCAUUGAUUGAAGCUUUAAAGGAGAUGCCUGGAUACGCAAAAGUGAUGAAAGAUUUGAUUUCCCGGAAGUUUGAUUUCCAAGACUUGGCCACGGUAACACUUACGAAGACUUGUAAUGCAGUGGUAACUUUGCUGAAAAGCUCUCUGACCCCGUGAGAUUUACCAUUCCAUGCACCAUUGGAAAUUGUACCUUUGCGAAGGCACUCUGUGACUAAGGGGCCAGCAUUAACCUUAUGCCUCUGGUUAUUUACAAGAGGUUGGGCAUUGGAAGAGCUAGACCCACCUCUAUGUUGUUGCAGUUAGCUAACAGGACUGUGAAACGUCCAUUUGGGAUCCUCGAUGAUGUGCUUAUUCAGGUGGGGAAAUUCGUGUUUCCGACAGAUUUUGUGAUAUUGGAUUGCAAGGUAGACGAAGAAAUCCCUAUCAUUUUAGGAAGACCAUUCUUGGCCAUAGGAAGGGCAUUGAUAUACUGUGAAACUGGGGAACUAAAAAUGAUACUGAACGACGAAGAAGUCAUAUUCAAUGUUCAGCAAUCAAUGAAGAGACCCAGUGAAUAUGCAAGUUUCUCUCUAGUAGAAACAAUGGAUGUCAUCUUGCAAGAAGAUGAUUGGGCUCUAAUGGUCAAUGAUCCAUUAGAGGCGUGUCUGACAAAUUUAGAAGAAAUGAGUGGCGAGGGAUUAGCUAAAUGGGUAAUGGCACUGGAAGGGUGAGGAGUGUGGUCGAGGGAACCUCAGUUCGAGUCCCUUGAACUAGAAAAAAGGGCCAACCAUCCAGCAAAGCCAUCAAUAGAAGAACCACCCAAGCUGGAAUUGAAGCCACUCCCAUACCACCUCAGGUAUGGAUUCUUGGGCCCUGAAUCAACCUUACUGGUUAUUAUAUCAUCAUGUUUGUCAGAUGUGCAGGUAGAACAACUCUUACAGGUGUUGCAGGACAACAAGACUACCAUUAGCUGGACCAUGGUAGAUAUAAAGGGUAUCAGCCCAGCCUUCUGCAUGCAUAAGAUUCUCUUGGAAGAAGGGCACAGACCUUCAAGGUAACACCAGCGAAGACUGAACCCUAACAUGAAGAGGUAGUAAAAAAGGAGGUGGUCAAAUGGUUAGACGGGGGAAUCAUUUUCCCAAUCUCUGAUAGUAAUUGGGUCAGCCUUGUCUAAUGUGUUCCGAAAAAGGGAGUGAUGACAGUUGUAAAAAAUGACAACAACUCGAAUAGUCACCGGGUGGCGAUCUGCAUGGAUUAUCGCAAGUUGAACACUGCCACCCAAAAGGACCACUUUCCCUUACCUUUUAUUGACCAAAUGUUGGACAGGCUGGCCGGAAGAUCACACUUUUGUUUCUUAUACGGAUAUUCAGGGUACAAUCAAAUAACAAUAGCCCCCGAAGAUAGUGAGAAGACAUCCUUCAUCUGUCCGUACGACAUCUUUGCCUUUCUGAGAAUGCCCUUUGGGCUUUGCAAUGCACCAACGACUUUUCAACGGUGCAUGUUAGCCAUAUUCUCAGAUAUGGUGGAAGAUGUCAUGGAAGUCUUUAUGUAUGAUUUCUCCAUGGUGGGAGAUUCAUUUGAAGACUGUCUCCAUAACUUAAGCCGAGUGCUCAAAAGAUAUGUGGAGACAAAUUUAGUGAUGAAUUGGGAGAAGUGCCAUUUUAUGGUACAAGAAGGAAUAGUCUUAGGACAUCGUGUGUCCAAGAAGGGAAUUGAGGUUGACCAUGCUAAGGUCACCGUGAUUGAAAACCUACUACCGCCCACUUCAGUUUAGGCGGUGAGAAGUUUUCUGGGUCACGCCGGAUUUUACUGGCGUUUCAUAAAAGAUUUUUCUAAAGAUGCUAACCCAUUGUGCAAACUCCUCGAAAAGGAUCAGUCCUUUGUGUUUUCUAAUGAGUGCAGGGUGGCAUUUGAGGAAAUGAAGAGGAAGCUGAUAACUGCACCCAUAAUUGUUGCACCCAGCCGGGAGCAACCAUUUGCGCUAAUGUGUGAUGCCAAUGACUAUGCUGUAGGAGUAGUCUUGGGAUAGCGAAAAGAUAAGCCGAUGCACCCGAUCUUCUAUGCAAGCAGAACGCUAAGCGGGGCACAACUCAAUUACACAGUGACAGAGAAGGAGAUGUUGUCAGUUGUGUUUUCAUUCGAAAAGUUUUGAUCGUAUUUGAUUGGUUCAAAGGUAAUCGUAUACACUGAUCAUGCAUCUCUCAAGUACUUGAUUGACAAAAAAGAGUCGAAAAUGCGCCUCAUUCGUUGGGUGCUGCUGUUGCAAGAAUCCCAUCUCGAAAUUCGUGACCGCAAGGGCACAGAAAAUCAAGUCGCCGAUCAUCUAUCGCGACUUGAAGGGGCUAAACAUCAGUUGAUAUUGAAGAAAUUCUGGAAAUUUUUUAGAUGAACAGCUGCUCGCAGCCACUUUGGAAGAUGCGCCAUGGUACGCUGAUAUUGCGAAUUAUUUGGCUUGUGGCAUUGCACCAUAUGAACUAUCCUAUGUGCAAAAGAAGCGAUUUUAUCGUGAAUGCCAAAAAUAUUAUUGGGAUGACCGCAUGUUUUUAAAAUCUGUAUUGAAAACAUGAUCCGGAAAUGCGUCCCCGAGAUAGAACAAUAUUCUGUAGUGCAGGCAUGUCACGCGUCACCUUAUGGAGGACAUUUCGGAGGAGUGCGGACAACAUCAAAGGUGUUAGAAGCAGGGUUCUACUGGCCAACAAUAUUCAAGGAUGUGCACAAAUGGGUAAAAGGAUAUAAUGAAUGCCAGUGAACGGGGAACAUAUUGUGCAUACAUAAAGUUCCCAUGAAUCCAAUUUAGCAAGUUGAGGUAUUUGACGUUUGGGGCAUUGAUUUCAUGGGCCCUUUCAUCAGCUCCUAUGGCAAUAAGUAUAUACUUGUUGCGGUGGAUUAUGUCUCCAAAUGGGUGGAAGCUGCAGCACUUCCCACAAAUGAUUCAAGAGUGAUGGUAGGAUUUCUGAAGAAGAAUAUAUUCACUAGAUUCGGGACUCUGAAUCAGUGAUGGGGGAACCCACUUUUGCAAUCAUGUCUUUGAAAAAUUGCUAACCAAAUAUGAUGUGCACCACAAGGUAGCAACCCCAUAUCACCCUCAAACAAGUGGACAGGUAGAAGUUUCUAAUCGUGAGAUUAAGAGUGUGCUAACCAAAACAGUAAAUACCACAAGAAUUGAUUGGGCGAAAAAGCUUGACGACGAACUUUGGCAUGUAGACUUUCUAAUCGUGAGAUUAAGAGUGUGCUGACCAAAACAGUACAUGCCACAAGAAAUGAUUGGGCGAAAAAGCUUGACGACGCAUUCUGGGCCUACAGGACUGCAUUUAAAACACCUAUUGGUAUGUCACCAUACAAAUUGGUGUUUGGGAAGGCCUGUCAUCUACAUGUGGAACUAGAACAUCGAGCAUGGUGGGCAUUAGAACAAUUAAACAUGAACACUAUCGAAGCUGGAUAAGAUAGAUUGACACAGUUGCAUGAGUUGGAGGAGUUCAGAUACCAUGCAUUUGAAAGCUCGAGACUGUAUAAGGAAAGGAUGAAGAAAUUGCAUGACAAAAAUAUUGUGGACAGAAGUUUCAAACCUGGAAACAAAGUAUUGUUGUACAAUUCAAGGUUGAGAUUAUUUCCAGGAAAGCUUAAGUCCCGAUGGUCAGGACCAUUCAGAGUUGUGCAAAUUUUUGCAAGUGGAGCUGUGGAGAUUGAGUCAGAAGAUAGGACGAACAGGUUCAACGUCAAUGGGCAAAGGUUGAAACAUUACCUUGGCAUAGCGGAUGAAAAAGGAGAAAUAUUGGUGACUAAUCUCAAGGUGCCGCAAUACAUGACGGAAGAAUAAAGGGAUCCAUGAAUUGCGUUAUGCCGCAACAAUAAAUCAGGCGCUGUGUGGGAGGCAACCCACUAAUAUGUUGAAUAAUAUAAAUUAUAAUUAGUAUAUUGAUAUAUUUAUUAAACAAACAACCAAAAAAAGAAAAAGAAAAGAAAAAGUGAAAAUCAGCAAAAUAAACGUGACCGCGACCGCGGGAACCCCUGGGAGCUGUAAAAAUUUCCCGCGACCGCGGAGUCAUAUGACUCAAACCGCGGCCGCGACCGCGGGAACGACCGCGGUCGUCCAAUAAUCCGCGAUUUUUUUUCUUUUUUCCUUUUAACUCGUUUUCUCUUCAUUUUUUCUUUAUACAUUCAAAUCCUAACCCUAAAUCUCCAAAAACACUCCCUCCCCCAUCUCCCAAACACAAAAAAUUACUUCCUCCACUAUCAAAUCUUCUCUCUAACCAUAACCCACUUCUCUCCAUCAUCUAUUUUUCUUCUUAAUGCUUUACUACAUCACAUUACUCUUUAAUACAAGGUUUGAUUUCAACUUUCUUCUCUUUUAUUUCAAUUAUUAUUGUAUUAUAUGUUAAUGAUAGUAAUUUAAAUAUAUUGUAGUAUUUACAUCUUGUAUUUAUGUUGAGUUUUCUUUGAUUAGUUAGAAGAUGCUAUAAUUUUUUCUGUGGUUGGUAAAAGGGCUGUAUUUUUCAUGAGUAAAUUGUUAUUGUUGAAGGAUGAUAGUCUUGGAUGAGUAUAGGGUGUGUGGGUGUGUGUUUGAUUGAAGUGGGAUGCUAAUUUUGAUUUAAAUAGGUCAUGAACAUAACAAAUAAAGUAUUGCCCACAAGGUGUUCGUCAAAUUGUCUCAACGAAUAGGCAAUGUUAAAGAUUGUUGUGAUUUGGUGUGGUGAAGUCUGAGUAACCACCCAUAGUCACCGGGUUAGGCUCACACAAACACAUGUCUCUCACCAUUGUCAGGUAACAUGAGUACUUCAAGGAAAAGACAAAACACAGGUUCAUCUAGAGCUAGGGCCCAGGCCGCUUCGGAAGAUUUUGAUAGUUCAUGGUUUGUGUCCAAAACCAUCGAGGAAAGGUACCAUGCCAAGCUGAACAGGCAAUUAUUACAUGAGGUUCAUAUUAAUAGGCAUGCCUUGGCAGCGGAUUUGCCCCCCAUGUUUGCAAAAAUCUGAAGGCGUCGACUAGACAUCUUAUUUGAGUCACCGGAGGUAUCUAAUAUUCUGCUUGUGCGUGAAUUUUACGCCAACCUGCCUGAGCAUAAGCAGAAUGUAGUGACGGUGCGUAACACAGCUGUCAAUGCAUCAAAAGAAGUUGUUCAAAGAGUGUAUUGGCUUCCUGAAUUCACAGGCCCCGAUCACUAUAUGUUGACCAGUCACACCGAAGCAGAUUGGGAUAGAAUCAUGCCGGUCAUUGGAAUACUUGGCAGACAACCAAGAUGGGUUACCCAGCCGACAACCUUGCAUUCUCAAUCUCUGACUUGGGAGGCCAAGUGUUGGCUAACUGUCAUCAAUAAUAGGUUUUUACCUUCCAGCAACACAACAUAUGUGAAUGGGCCCUGAGCGGCAAUGAUAUGCAAUUUUAUGACCCACCAAGGGUUUGAUGUCGCCCGAGUCCUCGUGGAAGAAAUGUUCAUCUGCUCACCCGAGGUUGGUAAAGGCCUUUACUUCCCUUCUCUUAUUACCAAACUUUGUCGCAUUGCUAGGGUCCCCGAGAACCCACAAGUAGAUGGAAAAUUAAAGUUGGAGAAAGCAUUCUUCGCAAGCAAAAUUAGCCAAAAAGGACGAGGUCUGGUAGAACAAUGCAAUGACUCGUCUGAGAAGUCGGUGCCUGGGGAUGAAUCUGAUGAUGCUGCUACUCAUGAGAUCACUUCUACCACUUCAAGGGAUGAGGCAGGCCGUCACAGCCUCGCAGAAGCACUCGCUUGUCUGCGUUAGAGAGCGAAAUGACUGGCCUAAGGACCUCUAUUGAACACUUGGGCACACGUAUCGAUGGAGUUGAACAACGACAAGUGAAGACAGAAAAGAAAUUCAUGGACUGGUUUAGAGCGCUUGGUCAUGCCUGCGGCGUGAACCCGGGCAAUGUGUCAGACCAGGAUUGAACGCACAGGGAAGUUUCCUUACCUCACAUGUUUCAUACGAUUAAGCCAUGGGGACAUGACUUAUUUUUAAGUGUGGGGUGGGAAACUUUCUCGCUCCUUGCUAAUCUUGUGAAUAUUAAUUUUGUUGUGUUUGUUUUCUUUUGGUUAGUCAUUUGUUUGGUUUUUGUUAUUAGUUGUUGAUUUGCAUUAACAGUUACGAUGUUUUAGAAGUUAAUCAUAAAAGCGACUUGACCCGAUGAUGGAUCUCUAUCGACGGGGUUCUUGAGGGUGUAAGUCGAUAUAAAAAGAAUGUCAAAAAGAUUUUUAUUGGUUUUAGGUAGUAUAGUAACAUCCCCUUGAUUUUUCUUUGGGCCACGGUUCUUUUCCAAGGGUUAUUCUUGAACCGGGUAUAGGUAGAUUUUCUUUUGUUUUCUUACCUUAGUCAGUGGGUGUCGAGCUAAAAAAAAUCGAAUGAUCCUUAGCGUUCUUACACUUGAACAUGAUAGACACUAGAGUGUAGCAUCUAACUUCAAGAGUCAAAUCCUCCUUACGUUAAAAAUUGAACACUUGCACCUAACUUGAACGCUCGAAAGAGAACAUCUUGAUAAACUGAUCCGAAGUGAGUCAUGUGCUAAUUGAGUGUGAGUAAUCCUACCUACGUGCCUUAAAAAUUGUACACUAGCUUCUAAUUUGAACACUCGAAAGAAAAUGUCUUGAUAAACUGAUCUGAAGUGAGUCAUGUGCCAGUUGAGUGUGAGUAUUUCUUGUAUUCCAUGCUAUAUAUUUGAUGCCUUGAACUUUCCUUGUGUGUUUGCAAAGCGAAAUAGAAGUUUCAUUCAGUUUUAGAAGUGAUAUAGGCAUUUCCUUGUUGAGCCAGCUAUAUAUUGAACCCACAUGUAUACAUUAUAUCUUACUUAACCCCGUUGAGCCUAUAGGCCUUUUUUUGGUAGCCACAAUGUGAACUUUAACCACGUGCUUGAACCUGUGGUCACAUUAUAUCUUACUUAACCCCGUUGAUCCUAUAACUUUUUCUUGGUAGCCACAAUGUGAACUUUAACCACAUGCUUGAACCUAUUGUUUGAACCAAUUUUUCAUCCCUCUCACUAAGUACUUGAACGAUAUGGAGAUCAUGUAAAAAUAAAAGUGUGGUGGUGGCUUAAUUUAGAUGUAGAACCAUGAAAAUAGAGAAAAUGGUGUAGAAUGUGAAAUAUAAUAUAGAAGCACCACAAAAAAUAAAAAAAUUGGUAGCUUGUAUAGAUUGCACCUGUUAUAUGGGGAUGCUAAAAAAUGGUGGAAUGUUGUCUUACGAAAUGAUGAGCUUAAAAGUUCAAUGUAGUUGUAUUAAAGUGCUUAAGAAGGCUAGUCACUAUACUCAAAUAUCAUCAUACCCGUCCCUUAGCUUACAUUACAACCGAAUAAAGACCUAUUGAUCUUAAAUUAAGUGAUGCUCGAUUAGUCGAGUACUACACUCGGGGCAAGCCUAUGGUGCAUCUUUGUUGCAUGUGAAUGUUUCUUUCAGAGAGUGAGUGAAUUCUUUCUAACUGAGUUCCUAAUCGUUGUCGCUAUCAUUAUACAUAUGGAACUACUCUCUUGUGUGAAGGGAGGGCAUGUGAAUCACAAAGGAAAAGUGCAGCUUGACUAUUGUGUAGAGUGGUUGAGUAAGUGCAAGUGUGCAGGGCAUAAUGUUCUUGACUCUCGAGGUAAAAGUUGCUCACCUAUAGAAGUAACUCUUGAGAAAAUAUUCUUGGUGUGAGUCGUUAAGGAGAAACAUAGGGAAUGAUUUUGUUGGAGUGUGGUGAAUUGCCAGAGGACUAGCAAUAGUUUAAGUGAGGGGUGUUAAUAAUAGGUGAUAUAAUCGCUAUUUACAUCAUAAUUACCCAUGCUCUUUUGUUGUUUUGUAAUGUAAAAUGCCAUUAAGAUGCAUGGAUUAAUGUUAUUUCAUUAUGCAGGGAAUACAAGAUUUGAAGAAUCAUAAAUGAAGCGUUUAUAGUCAAGAACGUAAGGAUUUACCCACUCAUGAAGAACCCGAACUCAAAAGAGCAAUUGAGAGAAGUGAAACGAGAACAAAAGCAGGCCUUCAGGUAUUUCCGCUAUCCGAGCUGCUAUCUGAGCCGCGAUUUGCCACAGAGAGCACCGCGGUCGUUACCGCGGUCGCGAGCGCGGGGAUUUCGUUAUAGUCAAAGAAAUGGACUAAAGUUCAAAAACUGAAAAACUUUUGUAAUAAACCUAUAUGUGGUAAGGAACUGGCCCACCAAAGGAUAAACUCGUUUUUGGAGCUCGUUUUGGGAGAAGAACAAGCUUGUGAGUUCAUCCAUCAACAUUAGUGUUCUCUCUUUUAAUUUCUUGCAAGUUAUGAUUAUGAAUCUUUUUUUAGUUUAUUUCUUCCUUGUUAUGAGUAUCUAAAUACCUUAAUCUAAGGUUUUGGGUGUGACCCUUUGUUGAUGAAUUGGUUGUUUUAUUAAUAUAGUUGAUUUUGUUCUGAUUGUGGUAAAUUGAAGGGCCCUUUAAUUAUCCGUUCCUUUUUAAUAUGUAUUACUUGAGUGAGAGUGCAUAUUUAGGAAAUUUGUAUGAACAACAUCACUCCCGGAGUAUAGAUGAGAAUCAUAACCGAGGGUUUAGAGGUUGGAUUAGAGAUAGCGAUACCUCGGAUGCAAUCUAAAAUGAACCGUUAUGUGAAUCUAGCUAGCGUAUCUUGAGAGAGUGCAUCUAGUAAAUUAUUAUAAUUACUCGAGAGAAGUUUAUGAUAGCUAGAGUAUUCAUGAUUGAUAGAGAUUGCUAAAUUAUAAUUAUAGAACAUAUACAACCAAGGAAUUCAACAACGGGGAACCCUAUUACCUUAUACGUCAACUCAAUUAUUUACAAUCAAGUUUAGUUAAUUCUAUAUUUAUAUUUCCCCUUAGCUGUAGCUAUAAAAACUUAAUCAGUUGUGAAAUAUAACACUUGGGAAAAUUUGACUGCUUAAAUUAAGUACUUCUUGCAAGGGUAAUUGAGACGAUAAUUCUUUGUGGUUCGACUCUGGGCUUAUAUACUCAGAAUAUAUUUGCAACGCUCGUAUAGUCUUUUGUAAGACAUAGUUGAGCGUGAUCAAUUCCAUAUUUGGAAGUGUCCAUUAGGUACAAGAUUAAAGAGUGUAUUACAGCCGUCCAUCAGGAGUAUGGUUGUACUGUAACGAAAAGANNNNNNNNNNNNNNNNNNNNNNNNNNNNNNNNNNNNNNNNNNNNNNNNNNNNNNNNNNNNNNNNNNNNNNNNNNNNNNNNNNNNNNNNNNNNNNNNNNNNNNNNNNNNNNNNNNNNNNNNNNNNNNNNNNNAACGAAAAGAAAGGCAUAUCUCGGUCGCAAACGUGGCUUUGAACUUAUUUACGGCGACUGGGAUAAGUCUUUUUCAAGUCUGCCCAGGUAAUGGCCGCAUUGCAACACUUUAACCCCGACACUAUUGUUGAAUGGAGGCGUGAGCAGAUUCCGGAUAGACCCGAAUAUAUUUUCAACUAUGUGUUCUGGUCAUUUACCGCCAAUUGAUGGUUUUGUGCGUUGUCAGUAUAUCACUGCAUAUUGUAUGAAAUCUUAACUAUAAAUAACGAUUGCAUGCUACUUAUUUUCUUAGCCUAACAAUAACCAAAAUUUCUCUUUAGAAAAUGUCUGAACAACUCGUUACAUCCCAAGGUGUUACUGUGGAGAAAAAUACAAUUUGUACAAAUGGUGGCCAGAAGGUGGACACCACUAUUGGGCAUGUACGAAGUUACGAACAAGCUUGAACCGUAACCCGACAAGCCCACAUGUGACUCUGAGGUAUGGAUGGAUGAAGAGUAUAGAAUCAAGUACUACAAAGAAUAAAUUUAUAAACUUCAUUGUAUGUGUACUAGGAAAGCUGCUGAAGAGCGCCAAACCAACCACCAAAUUGAGGAGUUGAAAGCCAAACUCAAUGAGGUAGAAGAAGAGAAAAAAAGUCUGGAACACCAACUCGAGUGGUUGGAGAAAAUUGUAGGAAGCGGAUCUUGAUUAAGUAGUGGCUUUUACGAGAUAAGCAUAGUAGUUUGCUCUUUGUGUUUGCUUUGUUUAGUGUUUAUUCUAGUUCACCUAUUUGGAUCUUUAUGUUUGUAGUAUUUGUGUUUUUGUUAACCCAUUUAAAUAAAAAUAUUGUUCUACUAAUCAUUGUUGCUAAAGAACACUAGUCUUAAAAUUUGAAGCUGUUCUUUCCCCGAAAAUAUGCAUGUAAUUCGUAGUAUAAUAUUACGUAUUGUUGAGUUGUCAUGUCAUUUUGAAAAGGUUCAAACUCAUGUGGAAAAAGCUAUUUUUUUCCUGAAAAAUGGUGAGUGUAAUUCAUAUUAUAAUACUACGUAUUAUUGCAACUUAUUCCCUAUAAACUAAAAGUGCAUUCUAGUUAUUUUCAACACUUAACAACAACCUAUCAUCGAGCUUUUCAAUAUACCAAAAGUUUCCUACAAGAAAUGCCCCAACGCCCCUUUCGUCCCCCAAAGUGCGAAUGUGGAGCUAAGACCAUGAUGUAUAGGGAUUGGGAAGAAGUUGGCCGGCGCUAUUGGGAUUGUUUGAACAAGGUUUAUAGACAGACUGACGUACCUAUAUGCAACUUUAAGGUAUGAGUUGAUAAACCAUGUGACCAGGGAUACUACAGAGAUAAGUUGUACUAUCUUCAUGGAGUGUGUACGGGUCAGUGGGAGAGAGAGCGCCAAUCCAAAUAAAAAAUUGAAGACUUGCAGGCGAAAAUCGAGGAGGUGGAAAAGGAGGAAAAGAAGAUCGAAAAGAAGCUGUUUUUUAUGAAGGAGAGAAUACUACGCGGUCGUUCCUAAAGAAUGAUAUGUUAAGUGAUUUCGUUAGUGAAUCUUUAUGUUUACUUUUGUUAAGUGCCUUUGUUAGUUCUACUAGUUAUUUUUAUUUUAGAUUGUCAAUGUGUUUGUGGUUGUAAUAUACUAUAUAAGUAAAAUUGUUGUUCAAACGUAAUUAAAAUAAAAUUAUUCUGCAAAAUUAAUUUAGUUUGUUUUUGUUUUAGAUUGUCAAUGUUGGUGGUUGUGAUAUACUAUAUAAGUAAAUUUGUUGUUCAAACGCAAUUAAAAUAAAAUUAUUUAUUGUGUUAGUUGAAUAAGUUAAAUAAUUAAUUAUAAUUAAUAUUGGAGAAAAUAUUUAUGUAUGUAUUCCAGACUAUAUUUUUGAAGGCCGGUACUACCGAAUUAGGGUAUGAGUUCAACAUUUUUAGAAUUUUCUUACCUUACUGAUUUAAAUUAAAAAUUAUGAUUAAUAUUGGAGAGAAUAAUUAUGUAUAGGUUACAUGCUUGAUUUUUUAGGCCCGGUAACACCGAGUUAUUCUUAAUUAUUAUGCUUCUUAAUUUCAACAUUUUUAGAAUUUUCUUACCUUAUUAUAAAUUGUUGAAUUGGAGAGAAUAAUUAUGAAUGUGUUCCAGGCUUCAUUUUUUAGGCCCGAGGCACCGAGUUAUCCUUACUACAAGCUCUAUAUUUUACUAUGGUACAAGGCUCUAAAAAGGCUCUACAUUUUUACUACGCUAAAAGGCUAUAGUUUACUUCGCUAAAAGGCUAUAUUUUACUACGCUAAAAGUCACUAUAUUUUACUACACUACAAGACUCUAUAUUUAUCACAUUUUAAGUAUUUUUUCACAAAAAAUAACAUACUUUCGGUUAUAUAAACCAAAUAUAACACAAACAAUUCGGUAGCAGUUUUGGUCAUACACAUAACAUAAAUUAUGGUAAAUAAACCAAAAAUAACAAAAUAAUCCGGUGUAAUUUUUGUUCACAAACAUAACAUAAAUUCGGGUAUCAAAAUAUCAAUCAGUGUAUAUUAAAGAACAGAGACAUAACACAAAUUUUACAUGUAAACAUACUAAACAAUACUAAUAUGCAUAAUUAUAUGAGUUCGCCAUAAAGUAAAUUGAAAUACCUCAAUGUAAAAUUUUUUGAAUAUUUUUGAAUUCAAAAUUUUGCACCCGAAACACGGAAUCGAAACCUUAUGUUGUGUGUGGGACAUACACUCCUUCUUCUUUAUGGGACGGGUGGGGCCGAAUUUUUUUUAAACAAAGACCCGGGGGGACCAGAACGGGGGAAGCUUUGUAUUUUAAUGGAGAUAUCGGUCAAGGAAGACGACCAGGCCAUUUUUCAAUGUGCAUUUUGCAGUAAAUUACUGCGAAACCCAUAUUUAAAAAUGACCUGGCCCGGCUUUUAAUGAGACGCCUCUUUAAACGUAAUUCACAGUAAAUUACUGAGGGUCACAUUUUAAAAAAUAAUUUUUUAAUAUUUUACAGUAUUUUACUACGAAUUGAGUUAAUAGAAAAAAUUUUGUAAACAUAAUUCACAAUAAAAUACUGCAAAAUAUGUAUUAAAGUAACUUAUUUUUAAACAUCAAAGACGAAAUUUUUAGUCCAUUUUAUCAUCAUUUCAAUUUUGGACUCGAACGAAGAGUAGGGGUCCUUUGUAUAUGGGAUAUGUUGGGAUAAGGUGGUAUAAAUUUAGGAUUAAAUUUAUUCUAUAUUUGAUUUUAAGUGUGCCCAAUAUAAAAGUAUAUCUUAAACUGAGAUUAAAUCAUACUAUCUCCUAGGUAGGAUAACUAGGGCUUGUUUGGCCAUAAAAAUUUCACUUAUAGCUGAAUUUCAAAAAAAUUCCAAAGUUGAAAUAUUCCGAAAAACUAUUUUAAAAUGUUAAUUCAAAUUACAAACAAACAUUCAAAAACAGCUCCAACUGUAUUAAUUAUUAAAUAUCAUUUUUACUUGAAAAAAUUCAUUUUUCUUUUGAAAUUUCACAAUUUUAUGAACACACUUCGUAUAAGGAUUAGUUAUCUUGGAAUAAAGUUAUAAAGUGACAAACUUAUUCUUCUUUCAUGGUUUCACUACAAACUUUUUAUUUUUUGAACCACGAUUAAAAUAAGAAACAAAUUUUAUCCAAGCCUAUUCACUUUCAAACUAAACACAUGUUUUGAAUUUAUACAGUAUAUCCCAAUUUUAAUUUAAUAAAGCAAACAAAGCAAUAAUAAUAUUAAAUAGUCCAAGAGACUAUUAAUCCCAUAAUUCCCAAAAUAAUCUUCUCGCGGACCAAACAACCCCUAAAAGCCUUAUCUAAAGACGUAUAAACCACACACUUCACUCUCUGCUAAUUUCCACAAGAGAGAGGAAAUUGUAGGGAUGAGUGACGCUGUGGGUAUGGCGGCGCCACCGCCAUCAAUAAACCCAACCGCCGUGAACAGCCACAGCCACAACCAUAUGAUGAUGCACAUGACGUUUUUCUGGGGAAAAAACGCGGAGGUUCUCUUUUCCGGUUGGCCUGGGUAUAACAAUAUGGGCAUGUAUGUGUUGGUACUUCUCUUCGUUUUUCUGCUUGCCUUUUUCGUAGAGUGGAUCUCACACAUCAAUUAUAUCAAAGAGAGUGCUAAUCAUGUGGCUGCUGGGUUAAUUCAGACCGCGUUGUACGGCGUCAGGAUUGGGUUGGGUUAUUUGGUAAUGUUAGCUGUUAUGUCGUUCAACACCGGCAUUUUUCUGGUGGCAAUCGCCGGCCACACGUUAGGGUUCUUAGUUUUUGGUAGUAGGGUUUUUAAGAAAUCGCCGUUGACGGCUUAUACUAAGGCCUCCGAUCUUCCUCCCAUCAGUUGUAAUUGUUGACAAAUUGAAAUAAAAUAUUUAGUUGGGUAUCUUUUUCCUUCAAUUCAUAAUUAUUGGGAUAUCUUGUUAAAAAUUCCCAUUUUGUGAUUGCCCAAAGAUUAAUUCAAUUAAAAUUAUGGAGUGAAAAAACGAGUAAUUAUUACAGGCAAUCUGUGUAAACAAGUUCCCCCAUACAACUGUAUUCCAUAAUAAACUUUGUUCUUUGAAAUUAUUUUGAUUUGUUUUCUGAAAAAGGUAGAAUGCAUAAAUAAACUUAUUUGCUAAUAUCAACAAAGAUGUACAAAAAGCUGUCAAUGCCAAUCUAUGUUAGGUAUUGAUUAAUAGGAAG